rnacentral:lncRNA from 1 species
AAGCUACUGCUGAGGCUAAUGCUCCCAACCUCAAGGCUGGAGAGAAAAUGUAACAGGAGAUAUAUGAACCUAUAAUUCCUUGAGAAUUCUCUAUAGGACCAGUAUGUUGCUUGUGUUAGAACUUAGAAGUGUAGGCAGUGGUUUGGUUUUCUAAUCCGCUAGGGGAUUUUUCUUUAUACAAAAGAAUGUAAAUGCUAAUGACAGUAAUUUUAUCUGUUUUGAGUUUUGAGACACUUCUUCACUUCUGAUACUUUUCCUGUAUUCCUUUGUUCUGCAGAGAUUAGUUAACUAGAUCAGUUCGUACUGGUUUCAGAAGGAACGCAAAGGAUAAGCUGCAUUCAGUUUCUCACCCACAUUGUUUGCAAAUGAUGACCUUUUAACUUUAAACUGAUAAUCAUCUUAGUUAAUUUUAGUUAAACAAAAUCCACAAUUGUGCUCUAAAGCUCAUUGAAAAUGAUCCUCCUGCUCUUUUAAGCAAAAAGCAAUGGAGUUUCGCUAUGAACUUGAUGGCAGCAAUAACCAGCCUAAUUAAUGAAAUUAGAAAUGAUACACACCUAUGGAAAGAAAAGAAUUCUACCAAUUUGCAGUUUGUGCUUAACGAGUGUCAACAACUGAUCAUAAACAAUAGAGUUGCUGCAAUCCUUGCUCAUACAAUGAUUGAUGAGCACAAGCAAACUAGCUGCUCUAAGGAAACAAAUACUAGUCAGAAGAAUGGUCAUGAAGUCUACUCAACUGUCACAAUUGCAGUAUUGCAAGUGAUCAGUUGAAUUAUUUCUUGCUUAGGCAAGUACAUAGUAGAACUGAAAAUUCAAUCUUUCAAUUCUUAAUUUUUGGAAAGGCCUUUAGCAUUAAAGGAAACAAGCAAAGGACGGAUAAUCCGUGUGCAAGAGAUUCAGACAAAGAUGCAUAUGAUGAUUUAAGGAUCCUGCACAAUGAUCAUCUGAUCAAGGCUUCACAAAAAUCCCUGCUGAAAUCCCUCUCUUUCAAGAGCUGCUGCAGUUCCUGCUUGGGCAAUUGUUGGUCAGACAGCAUCUGCAAAACUACAAGAACUGUUUUCAGUACUAGAUGUCUUCUGAGGAAAAUACAGGUCAUUUCAGGUAAUGAAUCCCCAUCACUUGAAGGAUGAAGUAUAAAAAUUGCAGAAUAAAAAUGGUUCACUUUUUUUUUUUUUUUUGACAGAAUUCAACUGAAGAUGAGUUCAAAUGCAACUGAUCUUACAUACUUAUCGUCUUUACUCUUAGUUCUUCAAGUUGCUUUCCAUGGUAUUCUUCAUAUAUCUAUGUUUAUUCACUUCACAUCUAAGCUCGAAGAUUCAGGUCAAUCAUAAUCCGCCACUAUCUUUCUCUCUUUCUCUUUCAACUCCAGUGUAAAUAAGCCACCUUGAGCAAAUGAUUGAUAUGAAACUCAAAACAAAAAUGUACAGAUUGAUAUUAGUGGCUAUCUUAUAUUCAUUGUUGGCUCUGUUUCCAGAUUUAAGGCCUGCAGAAUUUGAAGCUUUGAGCUUGUAUAUAACUCUGUACUUAAGGGAUGUAUUAUUCGUGCUUAUAUCUGUUACAUUCUCGGAUCCUAUAGAAAUGCAGGCAGCAAAUUUCAUGAUAAUAAUAGGUUCGAGAUGUGAACACUAAAUUAAUUGCAGCAAGAAUAAAAAUCAAGACCAAAGAAACAAAUAGAAGAGUCCUCACAUGCAAAGAUAUCCUGUUGAUUCCUUAUCUAGAUAACGUGUAAUAACUAUGAAAUAUACCACAUUGUUUUGUAAUGCUGCAAGAGCUGAAAAACCAUAGUCUUGAAGCAGCAGCACAAAGAACAAGCAUAAAUAACAAGAAGUUUCUCAUUAUGAAAAGUAAAAUUGUCUUGCCAAGAAAAACGGAUACUGGAAGGGUCUCAUUUAAAAAUAAUAAUAAUAAUAAUAAUAAUAAUAGCAGAUGUUGUUAUAGAAAGAGUGGAACAAUGCGGCCCUCGUAAACCUGAAUGAUGGAAAAUCACUCAGUUUUCAAUCAUUGUUAACAAUUCGUUAAGGAUUUGACAUAUGCCGUAUAUUAUCCGAACAAGAAAUUUAAGAAAGGCUGUUAAGGAAUAUUCGAUUUCAAUGUUAUAUUGCAAUUACCUCUAUCAACUAUGGUUAUUUCAGAAAGAACAAAGCUGGAUGCUUAAUCAGUAUGAUCCCUUCAGGUUCUGAUUCAAUUUCAUUUUGUAAAACCUUUAAGCAAAAAACUCUGACACACAUCAGAUGGCUACAAUUCGAUGGUGAUGAUAAAUUUUUUGGUUAAUCACAAAGAAUGAGGUAUGAGAAACUAAUUUUUCCCAAAGAUAGUGAGAAAGGUAACUCUAGAAUAUGACCUAACAUAAAUGUGUAUAAUUUCAGGAAAUCCAAACUAUUAUAGAUCCAAACAUGAUGAGACUUAAACAAGCCAAUUUUUGGUUUUGAUUCAACAAUAUUUAGCCAAUGAAGUGACAAACUGGACUCCCCAAAACUCAUAUAAAUAGACACUUAUUUUGUUACAAGUAGUACAUUGAAAGUACAUGUAAGAAAUCAAUAUGAUAUAGAAUCACGAGAUUCAAUAGAACCUAUAAAAACAAGAUACUGUGUAUUUGUUAACCUAGUCAAAGAAAGUGUUAAAAACCAAUAUGAUAAAAAGUCAUCAGAUAAAUUUUGGAAAUAAAACAGUUCCAAAUAUUAGAGAUUUCUUAAAAGAAAAUAAAAACAAAUAAUCUCAAAGAUUUUUGAAUCUUGCUUACCAGUUAUUAGAAGAAUACAACAAAAGGGAUCCCCAAGUAAGACGAUCAUCAAGAAUAUGGAACUGAACCAUUGAUGAGAACCUUAAGCCCUUCAAUUCCUUCCUCCUCAAUUCUCGUCACCAGCUCAUCAGUAGAUUGUCCGCAUCCAUCCACUUCAAUCACUUGCAAGGUGGGAAUGUCUAGAAAAGCAGAAGGCACCUCCUUUAGCUGUUUACAGUUCCGCAAUGCUAGGUGCUGCAGAUUGGGAAGGUGAUCACUGUAGGCAUCCCACUGGACAAUGUUUAGAGUAUCUAAUUUCAGGUACUUGAGCUCACGGUACUCAUCUUCUUCCAUUUCCCAUACUUCCCCUUCGAAGGCUCUACAGAGUAGAUUGAGAACCUCAAGAUUUGGGAAUCUUGCAAUUGCUGAAAUGUGAUGCCAUGGCAACCGAAAGCUUGACAAGGUGAACUUUUUCAGACUAGAGGGCAAGAUAAAUGGACUCACAUUAGGUGGAGGGCCAUAGUAAGAGAUCUUCGGCGACUCCAGCUUAGUCAAAACAUCCAUAGCCGGAAAAUGAUCAUUGUUUCCCAAACAACUAUUUGGUUUCACAAACAUGCAUCCAAGUUUUCGGAGAUUAGGGAACCUCCUCAAUACUAUUUCUGUUUCUUCCACAUCAGAGAAACAUGGCGAUGAAAGUGUCACCAAGUCAUACAACUGAGAAAGUUCCACAGGCUUGAUACCUUCCAAAAUAAAUGUAGCAUGAUUAUUGACAUGAACAUGUCGCAACCGUGCCAUGUACCAAAUACUAUCAGGUAGUAUAACUUUUCCCUUUAAUCCCUUCACAAUGAUCGUUUCCAAGUUCCAGAGGUUCGACAUUGAUGAUGGAACAGAAUCUAUAUCUCCACUGACAGCUAAAAACCUCAAGUGUCUACUCCGGAGAAAAAUGAUGUGCCCAUAUUGAUGCAUUCCAAGUCCAGCACUCGAAGAAGUUUAAAGUUGUUAGAAAUAAAUGAAACGUCACAAGGACAUCUGGGAUAUAUAUCAUUAGUGGCAAAGAAAAGCAAAGAACGGACGUGAGCACCAGAAGGCCUUGACAUGACAAAAUGGUUCCGCUUUGUGAAAGCGCACAAUCGAUAAUCAUCAUACCUAAUGGAAUCUAAAUGAUCAAAAUAACCAAAAUCAACACCAUAAUCUAAAUCAUCAAAUGAAGCAUGAGGUUUCUCAAUACUUCAUAAUUAUCCGGGAAAAGUUUUCCUCUUUCAAUUUGGAUUUGCACAAGUCACGUAGUAUAUCGUGGACAUGACAUGCUUUCACCCCGCCACUUGAUCUUCUCUUUGCAACCAUUACUAGGUUUCGACCAACCAGAUCCAUUAGGUAUUCCUCUGCAGGAUCUUCUAAGCUUUUUUGCUCACUUUUCUGUACAAACCCUUCACUAAUCCAUAACCAUAUUAGCUUUCAAACGAGAAUAUCUUUUUGUUCCCAGAAAAUUCCAAAAUACAAAAAGCAUGGUCUUAAAUGAUCUGGCAAGUGCUUGUAGCUUAGUUCCACAAUAACCUUGCACUGCAUUUCUGGAUUAUCAAAAAUAUGCGAGCUCAUACUUUCCGCAAUUCGAUGCCACCAAUCUCGUGUUCUAUCAGAUCUUUCGAGGACACCAGCUAUUGCAACAAUUGCCAGGGGUAGUCCUCCAGAACUUCUAGAAAUUUGCAUUCCAAUUUCUGACAGUGCCGCUGGACAGUCUUGAUCAUGAAAUAUCUUGCUCUGUAGCAGAUCCCAACUUUCACUAUCGGAGAGUAGACGAAGAGAAUGAGGCUUGCUAUCUGGUUUAGCUUUUAGACCUACAUCGUGAAGACGACUAGUUAUUAAAAUCCUACUCCCAUUUCUGUCACUAGGUAAGGAUUUUUCCAAGUCAUGCCAAGUCCCAGUGUUCCACAUAUCCACAUAUCAUCCACAACUAUAAGAUUCCUUUUCUGCUUCAGCUUUUGAUACAACAUUAACUCCAAAUCUGCAUUACCCAUUUGAAGAGUAUCGGCAGUAGGCUUAGAGAUGCUGCUUAAAGUGUCAAGCAAUAGAUCUCGUUUGUUGUACACUUGUGAUACAUGACACCAGGCACAAACAUGAAAGUUAUACGAAAUCUUAGGAUCGUUGAACACUUCCUUUGCCAUAGUUGUCUUGCCUAUUCCUGGCAUGCCAACAAUAGCUACCAAAUCUCUCUGCAAGGAUCCCCAUGUGAGUCUAUCAAAUAUUGCUUGUUCUUGAUCAUGGAGUUCUACCACAAUUUCAUCAAUUUGUGGGACACUAGAUUGGGAUAUCUCACGUUGAGAGGCCUGGGUGAGGGACUAUGAUAUCAGCGGCCUUCCUCUCAUAAAUUUCUCUACUCUGAAUCUUAAGAAGUCCAGUAUCUUCUAAGAGCUAGUCGAGAUAUGAGAAAUGAUACCACAUACCCCCAACCACAUUCAAGUCAAUUACAUAUUCAAUCUCAUAAACCAUAUUGAUAACACGUGCACCGAGAUCUUGGACUUGUUGAUUCUCAAUGUCCUGCUCAACAACGUCCCUUAGGAAAGACCUAAAGAACUUUAGAUCCCCAAUGAUUGUUUGAAUCUGAUGCUUCACAGGUGCAAUUGAUAUCGGAUUAUACUUCAGCAUAUCCAUUAGCUUUCUCAAGAGAAAAUCAACGACUCCAGUAACAUUAGUUUUGGGGAAAUUAUGCCGUGGGAACUGGUGAUAAGUAUCUCUGAGGUCUGCCUUCACAUGCAUAACUUCAUCAAACAAAUUACAAAGCAAAUGAUACAUUUUGAAGUCCAUCUCUUCUCUCAUUCUACUGUCAAGAAUUGGUUUGUAAAGCGAUAUUACCCUCUUAGACACUGAAAAAAUCCUUGUGAAGACUAAUUUGUCAUUUGGUGUAUUCUCCUCUAGCUGAUGUGUGACUAUAGUUCUCCAGAAUCUUAGCGUCUGAUGAAUGGCUUUGACUUGAUGUUUCACAAGGUCAAAUAAACUUGCAUUGCUACGCGGCAAGGCCACAAUUGUCGAUUCCGCCUUGAAAAGAAAAAUCUUCGGAAGCAACAUAAAAAACACAUCACUGGCCUUGGACUUUGUGACUUCCUUGUCAUGGAGAGAGUGAUAUAAAGAUAUUACCAGUCUGUUAACUUCCUCAAGAAAUGUGAAGAUUGGUUGUUCAUCUUCUUCGUCCCUUACAGCUUGCGGCAGAUCUUUGAAGUAUGUUCUCAAGAAACUCAACCUCGCAUCAAGGGCUCUAUAUUGGACAAUCGCAAGGUUGAGAUCAGGGCCACCGUUUAAUUGCCCCACAAGGAAAACCUCUACCUUUAUAAGCCAAACCUUUGCAAGCAAUAUCAUAAGAUCAGUUCCCAUUUCUCGGUCCAACAUACACUUCAAAACUACCCCAUGCAUAAUAGCUACUUCAAUCUCGGGCAAUAGACAUUCCACAGCCUCUUCAGACAAUUGUCUUGUAUUAGUGGUGACAAUGGACACUAAGUAAUUCAGCUCCUCAUAAAGAACAUGUAGAUACUUGACAAAGCAAGAUUCCAGAUAUGUGUUCCUUGUGCAAUUGGUCUCACUCUUCAUAGCGUUGAGGAACUGCAGAUUCACCUUUAGAAAAUCUCACGUAGUUAGAUCUAUCUUCUGUUGCAAAUCAGAAAUCUCUUUGCCAUCUGGGAAUCAAUUUCUUCCCUGAACCAGCACAAACAAGACAGAUGCGUUGUGUGGAUUGCAACAUCUCCAACAAAUAAAGAGAUCUUCUAUUCUUGGAUCCUGUUCUGGGAAACCGCGCACAUCCUUGAUGAAACAUAAGAACUUUGAUAAGUAGUCUUUGAAGGCUCCAAAUUGUACCAUCAGAGGAUGACUAUUAGCAAGUUUCUUACUCAAAUCCAGCAGAUUGUCAGAUAUGGAUAUGACAAACUUCUGCCAUUGAUUAUAGUGAUGUAAAGGAGAGACAGACAGAAUUGAAUGGCUUGAUAGAUAGCCAUCCUGAUCAUAAGCUUCUCUGAUUUCUGACUUGAUAUUCUUAAUUUUCUCAAGAAAGUUGAAGAGUAAGGCAAUCAACUUAGAGGGACGGAAUAAAAUAUAAUUCUUGUUAGAUGCUCUUUCUAGGCCUCUCAUCUCUAGUAUUGCCGUUUCAAUUCUCAAGUCAAGGGAUUCCAAAUUCUACACAACCUUAGAGGCAUUAGUCCAGAUUGUAACAUAACGCAAAAAAGUAGUCAGAAAUCUGAACUCCACUUCAAAAUUAUUGAUCUUAUUAACCAUACAGGUGUGAACCCAAGGAUGCAGUUGCAGUCGUGGUUUCAAACCAAAAAACUGCUGUGUUUUUGGCAAAAAUGUUCCAGAUACCUUCUUCGUCCAGAAUUGAGUUUUAUACUGUUCAAGCUGCUGCUUCAGGCCCUUCAGAUAAAAAUUAAUACCAGAGAUAUACGGACGACUAAGAGCCAUCAGCUUGGCUAUAUACUCUUAAUAGCUGCUUUGAAAUUCUUAGAAAUGAUCACUCACUCUCCCUCAGAUUUCAAGGGAAAAACAAUGCAGAAUACAAGAGAAAGUCCUGAUGCAAUAGUAUGUUCUGCAAUUAGUGACUCACAGGUAGUAGUAGAUUCCGUUUGUCCAAGGGACUCACGCAGCAGUUUUCUCCACAAUAGGCGAAAUGCCAGCCUUUUGUAUUUUGUCAAGGACCAUUAACAACAAACCAGCAAAAUGCACACCGCGUUAAUGCGUCAUUUUCAAAAUUUUCUUUAAUACAAGUAGUUGGGUUUUCUGUCUUCGUGAAUUUUGAAGGACGACUUAUUCUUCUUCAGAAAACGAAAGAUGGAUUUGGGUUUUCAGUCGUCGUGAGUUUUGAAGGACGACUCAUUCUUCUUGAGAAAACGAAGGAUGGAUUACCGCAUAUGCAGGUUAUGUAGACUUGGCUUUAGCUUUGACGAGUUACCAGUACCACAAGCAGGGUUUGCAGACUUUGUCUUAGCUGUGCAAUUAUCAUACAGUAAAAGGCUAGCUUGCAUUUCAAGACGAAAAAAACAGCCGAUCCUUUGUCGUAUUUUCUGUACCAUUUCUAUCUACAACGGAUCCUCCGUCACAUUAUUUUGUGUUACUUUUUAUUUCACAUUUUAUUAUAUUACUAUUUUUUUAUAAAUAUUAUAUUUUAAAUUAUUUUAUUUUUUAAAAAUUCAAUAACUCUUAAUUGAGUAAAAAUAAAUACAACAGCUUUAAAAAGUAAUAUAUUGUGGAAAAUAAAAAAAAAUCCAGCAAAAAAUUCUUAAAAAAUCUCAUUUUUUUAUGUAUUUUAAUUUUUUGAAUUUAUUAAAUUUUGUGCGUUGCUUAGUUAAUAGUUGUUGGAUUUAAGGAAACAAAAAAAAAUUAAAAUAUAAUAUUUAUAAAGAAAAAAUAGUAAUAUGAUAAAAGAUGAGACAGAAAAUAAUAUAAAAAAUGAGAUAGAAGAUCCAUUGCACUGACAUGGUCCAAAUUCCAACAUGUUUAAUUGGGCGGAGCAAAUACGUGGAGCGUGAAUCCAGCAGAAAAUGCUCCUGUUAGCUGCGCUCCUGCAUGAAGCGGUACCUCUUGGAAUCCAGCUCCUAAUUGCUUUAGUUGUAAGGAUUUCAAAUGCGGAUUUAAUCCAGUUCCUGAUAGUAGUAGUAAUUGAAAUGUUCUCGAUCAAAAUUUUUUUUUAUUUUUUGAAGGAUUCUCAAUCAAAUUUCUAGGUACAAAUUUAAUUUCAAUUUGAAGACUUGUUUAGAAUUAGUUAUUUUUUAACGAAGAGCCCCAAAGAAUACUUUUCUUUGGGAAGGGGGAACGAGACUGCAGGUUGUGUUGUUCCACUCUCAUUUUUAAUGAAAUUUCAAAAGGAACCACAAAUUUUGGAUCCCACAGAAAUGAAAAGCAAACAGAGAAAUUAAAUAAAGAAAUUGACGAAUCCAAUCUGCAUUUUGUGAUUAUCCGAAAGCCACUAGGGCAGUACUCAGUUUUUUUUAUUAUUUUCUUUUCUUUUCUUUUUUUUAAACAUUGAUAAAAAGCUUCUUAGGAGAUUAUUAUCUAUUUCUUUAACGCAUUGGUUUUGAAAUUCUAGGCCCAAACAAAUUUUAGAUUGUACUAACUUUAUUUGUAACCAGAUAAAAGGAUUCUAUAUCCAAUCAACCAAAUAAAAACCUGUAUGGGAAAAAAUAGGAGUUAAAGAGGGCUGAAUAUAAAAUUACUUCGACAUAUCUCUAUUGUCUAUGGUCUAAAUUCUUGUUUGAUAACUCAAUUUAAUAUUUAAAAUUAAUGAAUUCAGAUCUUAAUAUAUUGAAAUACGUUUGAUAACAAAAAAUUGGAUAUCUAAAUUAAUUAAAUGACACUCAAUUUCGUAAAACCUGUUUCAAAAAAUAAGUGACAAACUGUUUACUCAUCACUUAAUGUGAUAUACACUCAAAUGUAUCAAGUUUAGAAUUUAACAAUUCAAUAAUUUAAUGAAUUUAAAUUUCAAAUUUCAAAUUUCAGUUUUCAGACUUCAAUUUUAUCAAAUGUAUCCUAAAUUUCUUCAAGCCAAAAUGGAAAUGUCCAUUAAAAAUAAUAGUUUUGAUAGUAGAUUAUUUGGGACAAUUUUUUGAAAAAAAACUGUCACUUUUUUUUGAUAUGAUGUAUAUGAAAUAAAAAUGUGGUUGAAAAUGUUUUGAUGAAAUAAGCAAAUAAAAUUUGACAAAUAAUAUACCAUCCAAACAACAGCACUAGCGAACAAUUUUUUUUUUGUUUUUUGUUUUUUGCACUAAGUCGCCCCUGAUUCUUGACGUAUAAGCACCUCAAUUUCGUGUAUGUGGGCUAGCAACAGCUUACAAGUGAAAAUCAGAAAUCAAAGGGUGCAUGUGUACAAGAAUUGUCCACGAUUAAUUAGGAGCAGAUCUACAGAACUCGGAUAACGUUUACUGUUGAACAUGGCAGGCCUUUAUGACAAUAUAAUUUUACUGGAACAAGAACCAUGUAACUACAACACUUGAAGUUAAAAAAAUGAUAAUCGUUAAAAAUCUUGACUAAGGAUACAUAAUUAGAAAAAAAAUGGAAAUUUGGAGAAAUAUUAUGACAAUAAUAAAGCAGAGCAAAGCUGAUCAAAUCUUCUAAUUGUAACAUUAACAGUGACUCGUGGUAUAUUUCAAGCCGCCAGUUGAGAUAAAUGUAUACCUGGAAAGAAUCUCUGAAACUCUGAGAAUCUUUAAAGGCCUAGAGAAACAAAUAUACAAGGUCAAUAUGGAAAUCCCAUUUGCAACGAGCUUGGCUCAAGGAGAGAUGAUUGAAGCGGCUCGUUUUGUCUUGUAAAGAAAAAUUCCCCAAAUCCUUUCCUUUCAACAGUUUCAAACAUUCUAAGUCAGACUUUUUUUUUUAAUAUGCAACUGAAAAGAAGUAUUGGCAACAACUUAACGUUCCAUUGUUGUCCAACCGGAAACUGUCUGCAAGCUCCAUUUUUCACUUCAAAGAUGAACUCCAAUAUCUCUAUCAUAAGGUCUGUUCCUUUCAGAAGCAUGAUUAAAGUAUUUAUACAGAGUAUUUAAAGUAGUUGAGAGCUUAAAAAAGCAUCCUGUUAGAACAAGUUGCUUUACGUACAUCAGUUUGUGAUUAUAAACAAUUAAAACCCAAUAAUAUCCUUAAUUUGUUCAAAUAUCUUUUGGAUUGUUUUUCUCAUCACUGGUAUGAAACUUAAUCGAUCUAUCUAGUCAAAUUUAGUCAUAGAGGGCACGAGUUGCGUUUCAACACCUAUAGGAACUAAUCAGCAUUCCUUAUCCUUAUUCAUGUUGAAAAAUCAGUAACAUCAAAAGAUUUGGUUCGAACUUACAAGAAAUACUAUACUCACGUGCACUCUCGUUCUAUGAGCUAGUAACCAAAGCAAUACAGAAACUACUGAUUACAAGAUAUACUGCUGCUAAUAGUUAGAAGGAAAUAUAUGUUGGCUGAAGUGUUAGAAAGAAAAGAGAAAUAUGCAAAAACAAGAAGAAAAUGCAAAAGAGCAUAAUGCACUGUUACUUUUUACAACAGAUAUAUAAGUAACAAUAGCUAAAACGAAUGGAGAACUGCAGCAGUAAAUCCCGAGACGUUAUACAUGGUGUGCAACGUAGCUAACCUUCCAAUAACUUACUGCAUUAGCCAAAAACUGUCAAGUGAUCAUUCGUGAACGGUAGAAUUUUCACUUAAGCAGGCUGGUUUCAUUGCAUGGAGACCAAAUCAGUACAAGAAUAGCAAUUAGUACCAAAUAAACCAUUACAACAGUAAUCAGAAAACUAAAAUUUGAAAUACUAUUUAACAGUUGACAAAGAAUCAAAAAUUCAAAGCAAGCAAAACUUAGGCAAAAGUAGAAUAAACUACAUCAAUGUACACAUUGUUAUUAUACCAUGGGAACAAGAAAAGUAAAUCUGGAACAUAAUUUCACACCAAUCUGCUAAUGAAAUUCAGAAUUAAAAAGACUUUUUGACUCCAAACAGUUCAAAAGCCUCAAUCAUAAAGUGUACAUAGUCAGCAUGGCAAUUGCAUCAAUCAAGGAUAAGAGUUUCAAGAAAUGCUUGCUCAAAUUUGUUCUCUUUCAGAAGCUUCUAAUAUUGCUGCCAACUCCCUUUCAACAGCCAGCAAUGCAAACAUAUACAUGCAUUGCCAACUGUCUGCUAGCAAAAAUACAUGUCACUUGAGGCUAUUCUUAUUGCUGAAGGCACAAAAUUUAGUGAGGAAUGGACUAUAACAAACUUUUAAAGAAUGAGGUUCACAUUUUCAACAGGACAUCAGCACGUGAGAGAAAGACAGGCAGACAGAGGAAAGAGGAAACCGCUCAACCCUUCACUCCAUUGAUGAAGUUUUCAACUUCUGAAUCAUGAAUAAUGGGGCAUGUAGGUCAUACAAUGAUCAUUCCCAUGUUGUCUCAGCAGACUAAUUCCGAUUAAAAUCAAACAAUGAAAAUCCAGAAACUACUUCUAAAGGAGAAAAUACAUUAUAAUCCAAAGGUUUGGGAAGCUACUAAUGCUAACCAUAUUGGCACACGAUUCCCUAUUGCUCCUCCAUUAUAGAAGCGCGGAUGCAUAACCAGCUUCCCUCAGCCUCCUAACUUUGUCUAAUCCCUUAGUUAUGCAAAGUGCAUAAGCCUAGGCAGAGUAGGGAAACUCGUUGUAGUAGAUUGUGAGCAGCAAUGUGUUAUUGCAGUUGCUUCAGUUCACAAUUAGACCUCAGAAAACUCUCACCACUUCCCAAUAUCUAUUGGACAGUUGAAAGCCACAAACACGCAAGACUAUUUAAUGACGUUAGCAGGCAGCCUGAAUGUGGAAACAUCAAGUAAGUUACAUUUAACAUUAUUUUGAAUUCCAGCAGUGUAUAGCCUGAAUAUGUUCGUUUUAGCUGAUCAUGGGUCCUUAAACAGUAGAGCAAGUGUGCACAUCAAGUACAACAGUGAGACUUAAUGUGAGUGACAUUGCCAGAGAAUGGUGUCUUUCUCACUGUAUACAUCGUCACAAAGUCUUCCUUUGGACGAUACAAGCUUAUAACAUUACCUAGUAAAAGUUCUAUUAUGUUCCACGGAGUCGAGAUGUUUUGGCCGUGUAUUGCACUACGAUAAGCUCCUUGUUCAUUUAAUUUAUGAAUUUAGAAUUUCUAAGAUAUCCAAAUUUUCUAAUAAGACGGAUAGAACAUCCACAUUACACAAAAAAGGGAUUCAUCUGCCUGGAACCCAUAAGGUUUUUCCAAACCAAUAACGUCCGUGAAAGAUAAAGGUCUACUGCCAUAAUCUGCCCAUUUUUGCUAGUUCAAAAUAACCAAAGGAAUAAAGAAAUGAGGCCAUAAAACCAAGCACAGACGCGUAUCCAGAUUUCCUAACUCUCUGUCUAAGCCAGCCAAACCUAACACCAAUGGCCCCUCCAUACAAAACAACAUCAAUCUGAGAAUGGCUACUCCAUAGAGAAAUACUCAAUCUUAAAUUAACACGGUAUCAUCUUCACUAAAAUUCAAUAGAGAUUUUAAUCAAAAAAUCAACUAGCAGAUUAAAUGGAGUUUACAACAAAACUCACCACUGAUAUAAAGACGAUAAAUUUGUUUCUACCGAGAAGCUUUCUUAAUGCCCAUCAAACCCCGAGAAGCCAAUUCGUCGAAACAAAUACGAGAUAUCCGAAAGAACUGAUAAACUGCGCCUGGGCGACCGGUGAGAAUACAACGAUGUAAUGAAAUGCAGAAGUUGGACUGAAGCUGAAGAUAUGCGCUAGGAAGAAGAAAUGAAGAAGGCGUGGAAUCCAGUAACUGAAGGUGUGAUCAAGAGGAAGAGCUUCAGCAAAGGCGCAUAUGCUAAACCACGCCUUUGCUGGGUUUCAUCUAUUCCAACAGAAAGCCAAGAAGCGCAGCAACUUGCAGCUGCAAUUAGGACACGUGUUUGAUUCUUAUUGGUGUAGUUAGUGUUGAUUUUCAACAAAUGUUGGCAGCCUCAAUUCUUGAAUUUGGAAGCCAACAUUGUUGACUUCUCUUUGGCACAAUUUAAUCCCACAUCGGUUGGGUUAUUGGAAGAAACUUAGCUUGAGAGCUAUAAAUAGCUCUCAAGUCCUUCCAAUUUGAGGUGUACCAAGAACAACAAAGAAUUACCCAUAAGGAUUUUGUAAUUCUUUGUAUUCUUUCUUCUCUCCUAAAUUAUAAAAGCAGGUCGCUUGAGUGGUGCUCGGAGAGUAGGCAAAAUUGGCCGAACUCCGUUAUCAAUUUUUCGGGUGCGUUCUUUCCUUAUCUCUUUUAUUUGUUCCGCAUUUAUUUAUUAGUUUCUUUUCUAUUGUAGUAUAGUAUUCAAUAUAUUUGUCUAUAUUUGUCGGGUAUAUUUGUAGUGUUUUAUACGGUUCAUUCGGGUGUAUUUUUCUUAUUCGUGUGUACGUAUUAUUUAUGUAUAUACGAGUAUAGUUGUGAUAAUACACCGUGCACGUAAGUUCUGUCUAGGAGACUGGGUUUUAAGUGAGACCGCUUGUGACCCCUCCAGCCUUUCCUGGGAAUUUACUUGGAAUGAUAAUUCUGUCUAAGGAGAUUGUUUCGACGAUCUUUCCUGAGAAUUACAGAAUCGGUUUAAUCACUAGUUGUAUUUUUUGAGUGGGAAAUUACCCGAUUUCCCCAACAGUUAGGAGUCUGUUAGAGAUUGAUAACUUUAUAAGCAGGCUUGUCUGCUUAAUCGAUUCUCAGCUUUUGAAUCAAUUUUGUCCAGAUUAGUUGUAAUAGCUUGAGGAGCAAUCCUCAUAAUUUCCCUCCCAAAUUUUCCUUCUGAUCUUACACCUUCUUAGCUAAAUUCAUUAUCUCUAUUUCUUGUAAUUUGUUUCAGAUUCAUUAAUGAAAUUGAGCUCAAUACAAUCACUAUUCCAUUGAUCAACCAUUGAACAUUACAAUCAAGUUUGCUUCCUUUGACAUUUUCUGCACUUUGGCUUCUGUACCAUAACAGUGGUAUCAGAACUAGCUACGAGCCAUUGGAAAAAUGACUAAAAACCAAGACGAGAUGAGAAAGGAGAUAACUGAACUAGGAAGUGUGGUUAGAACUUUUGUUAAUAGAAGUGAUGGACUGGAGCAAGCUGUGAGGAUCAUGAAGCACAGACAGGAGAGCACUCAAAAACCUGGAUCAGAAAUAUGAAGGCAUGAUGAACAUGAUGGCACAAAUGUUAGUGAAAUUAAACGGCAAGGGGAAGGAUAUAGAGGGCAGUAGCUCAGAGUCAGAAUCAGGACAUCAGGAAGGAGGCAGGAAAAAGAAGAUACAGAAAGGAGUUCUGGAUAGAUCUGAGCCCAAGGAAAGCAGAUCAAUCACCAGGCUACCCAAGGUGGAUCUGCCACCAUUCGCAGGGGAGAACCCAAGGGAGUGGAUCAAGAAGGCCAACAAGUAUUUCAAGAUCAAUGGAGUAGAGGAGGAAAUGAAGUCUGAUGUUGCAGAACUCUAUUUCAGGGAUAAGGCAGAUAUAUGGUUUCAUGGUGUGUUCAAUGGUAGGGAGGUUGUUCCAUGGGAAGAGCUCUGCAAUGCACUAUAUGAGAGAUUUGGAGAUGGUUCCCCUGAGGAGGCUAUAGAGGAAUUCAACAAAUUGAUGCAGACAGGUUCAGUAGCUAACUACUUGGAGAAAUUUGAAAUGUUCAAAGCCCUGAUAAUGCCGUCCCUUCCUCAUCAGCGAGACUGUUAUUACAAAACAUGCUUCCUAAGUGGAUUAAAAGAAAAAAUAGUAACUAUGGUGAAAUUAGCCAAACCUAAAACACUUGCAGAUGCUAUAAAGGUUGCCAAACUGCAGGAGAGGAACCUGAGAGCCUUGCAGAAAAUCCACAAAACCCCUUCCUAUAGCCCCAAUUACCAGAAACCUCUGCUUAAAAUCCCAAACUACUCCAAAUUUCCUGACAAACCCCAAGCUAUCCCAAAUUACCUGAUAAACAGAUCCCCAAAACCUACAAUAACCACCCCAAUACUCAGAACCAAUUCAAAAAACUCACCCCAGCAAAGCUCAACCAUAGGAGGGAGAAGGGACUUUGCUUCAAAUGUGCUGAGCUAUAUACUAUAAGACAUGCAUGUAAACAAUCACAUUUAAACCUAUUGAUUAUGGAGGAGGAGGGGAUACCAGUUACUGAAGAAGAGGGGGAGAAGAAGGAUGAGACUGAUGUAUUCUGUGACUGUAUUGGAGGAGAAUUAGAAAAUGAACACAGAAGUUUCCAUCCAUGCCUUGGCAGGGGGAAGUGAGCACAAAACCAUCAGGAUAAAGGGGAUGAUUAAAGGGAAGACCAUUAUUGCCCUGGUUGACAAUGGUAGUACACAUUGUUUCAUUGAUGAACAAUUGACUAGGAACUUGAAGCUGGGAACCAAAGGAGAGGCUCUGUCAGUUAGAGUGGCCAAUGGAGAAAGACUACAGUCUAGGAACAUCACCAAGCCUGUGACAUGGAAGAUGCAGGGAUAUGAGUUCCAGCAUCAUUUCAAUGCCCUAAGGUUGGGGGGUGCGAUAUUAUACUAGGAGUUGAUUGGUUAACUAGGUACAGUCCAAUGGAGUUUGACUUUAGAAGACUAAGUACGAAGUUCAGAAAGGGUAAGCAGCAGGUUGAGCUAAAGGGGGAGGACAAUUCAGUACAGUUGAAGCUAAUAAGGGAAAGUAGAUUAUACAAGUGGACCAGGAAACAAGCAUAUGGAAUUCUGGCACAGGUGAGUGCAGUAGAGGACAAGGAGCCAGACCAAGAGCCAACACCACCAGAAAUGGAGAAAUUACUGCAAAGGUUUGAGGAUGUAUUUCAGGCACCUCAAGGACUACCUCCUAAGAGGAUCCAGGAUCACUGCAUCACUCUCAAAGAGGGGGCAAAGCCAUUCCAAAUAAGGCCCUAUAGGUGUCCUUACAUCCAGAAGUCUGAGAUUGAGAAACUAGUGCAAGAGAUGCUGCAAACUGGGAUCAUUCAGUUGAGUAGCAGCCCUUUUGCUUCACCAGUACUUCUAGUCAAGAAGAAGGAUGGCUCAUGGAGAUUUUGUGUGGAUUAUAGGCAACUGAAUGAUCUCACAGUCAAGAAUAAGUUCCCUAUGCCCCUUAUUGAUGAGCUACUGGAUGAACUGCAUGAAUCCAAAUACUACUCUAAAAUUGACCUCAGAGUAGGGUACUUCCAAAUAAGAGUACGUGAAGAAGAAAUUCCCAAAACAACCUUCAGAACACAUCAAGGGCUAUAUGAAUUUAAGGUCAUGCCAUUUGGGCUGACCAAUGCACCCGCAACCUUUCAAGGCCUGAUGAAUCAGGUAUUUUAGAAACAACUAAGGAAGCAUGUAUUGGUAUUUUUUGAUGAUAUACUAAUCUACAGUCCUACUCUAGAAGAACAUAUCAAUCAUGUUACUGAAGUCCUGGAGAUUCUGAGGCCACACCAGCUAUAUGCAAAAGAGAGUAAGUGCUCCUUUGCCCAGAAGCAAGUGGAAUAUCUAGGCCAUAUCAUUUCAGCAGAAGGAGUAAGAGCUGACCCCAAGAAAAUUGACAGCAUGAUGCAGUGGCCAAGACCAGGGAACACUAGGCAGCUGAAGGGAUUUCUUGGUCUAACUGGUUACUACAGGAAGUUUGUCAAGGGAUAUGGUGCUAUUGCAAAGCCUUUAACUACCCACCUCAAGAAGGAUGGCUAUAGCUGGAGAGAGGAGGCUGAAGAUGCUUUUCAGAAGCUGAAGUUAGCUAUGUGCAGUACCCAUGUACUUGCUCUUCCAGACUUCUCCUAGCCCUUUGUGAUAGAGACAGAUGCUCGCUAUGGAGGAAUAGGAGCUGUUCUGAUGCAGAAUAAGAGACCAUUGGUUUUCCUCAGUCAAAGCUUGGGACAGAAGAAUUUGGGAAUGUUAAUUUAUGAAAAGGAGUUGCUGGCCUUAGUCACAGCAGUCACUAAGUGGAGGCAUUACUUGGAGGGGCACCAUUUCAUCAUCAACACUGACCACCAAAGUUUGAAAUAUCUAUUGGAAUAGAGGAUCACCACCCCCUCCAACAGAAGUGGCUGACUAAACUGAUGGGACUGAGCUAUGAGAUAUGCUAAAAAAGGGAAAGGAAAAUGUAGUAGUUGAUGCACUCUCCAGAAGGGGGAAGGAGGGAGCUGAGUGUGCAGCAACUACCACAGUCAUACCAGAAUGGAUGAAAGAGGUAAUGGAAAGUUACAUUGGUGAUACCUAGGCUCAAGAUCUCAUCAGGGGCAUCUUAGCAUUUCCAGAGCAGGAUUCAGACUACAGCUAUCAGAGUGGAAUUCUAAGAUAUAAGGGAAGAGUUGUCGUAGGACAGGAGGGAGAAAUAAGGAAGAAACUUAUUUCUGCCCUUCAUGACUCUCAGCUAAGGGGACAUUCAGGCAUACAGGCCAGUUGGAUAAGAGCCAAACAGCUAUUCCAUUGGCUAGGCAUGUUCAAGGAGAUCAAGGCAACAAUAUUACAGUGUGAUACUUGCAGGAAAUGUAAGGAUGAACGUGUGGCUUAUCCAUGUCUGCUCCAACCCCUCCCAAUCCCACAGCACUCUUAGAGUCAUGUCACCAUGGAUUUCAUAGAGGGACUACCCAAAUCAGAAGCAAAGGACACUAUCCUGGUUGUAGUAGACAGGUUUACUAAGUAUGCUCACUUCAUGAGCUUAUCCCACCCUUUUGAUGCCCCUAAAGUAGCUAGAAUUUUCCUGGAUCAUGUCAGUAAGCUACAUGGCAUUCCACAAAGUAUGAUCUCAAACAGGGAUAAGGUCUUUAUUAGCCAAUUUUGGACUGAGCUAUUCACACUACUGGGAGCAGGAUUGAGCCUAAGUACAGCUUACCACCCCCAAACAGAUGGCCAAAUAGAAAGGGUAAAUCAAGUAUUGGAAAUGUAUCUCAGAUGUAUGACUCACCUGGAACCAAAGAGAUGGAACUCCUAGUUAUCUUUGGCUGAAUGGUGGCAUAAUACCACUUUCCACACUGCUGUACAGAUGAGCCCCUUUGAGGCUUUGUAUGGGACCAAGCCUCUCUAGCUAGCGCUUGGACCAUAUAUGCAAACUAAGGUGGCAACAGUGGAGGAUUACAUGAGAGACAGGAAGAGAAUGGACGAACUAUUACAACACAACCUAAAAGCUGCUCAGGAGAGGAUGAAGAAGUAUGCUGGUGAUCACAUGAGUGAAAGGGAGUUCCAGGUUGGAGAUUGGGUAUAUUUGAGGUUGCAACCUUACAGACAAUCAUCUGUGAUGAUCAGGAACAACACCAAAUUAUCUGCUAAGUACUUUGGGCCCUACAGUAUAGAGGAAAAAAUUGGAAAGGUGGCCUGCAGGCUCAGGGUACCUGCUACAUCAAGGAUCCAUCCUGUGUUUCAUGUGUCUCUGCUGAAAAAAAAAGCUAGGGCACCAGAUCACACCUAUCCUACAACUACCAGACACUGAUGAAAAGGGGCAGAUUAGAGUAGAGCCUAUGGCACUAUUAAGCAGGAGGAUGAUCAAGAGGAAGAAUGCAGCUGUGACUCAAUGGCUUAUUCAGUGGUGGGGUGCUGAACGUGCAGAAGCAACUUGGGAAGAUGCUAAGUAGAUAAGGGAGAAGUUUCCUCAAUUCCGACCUUGAGGACAAAGGUCUUACGAGGGGGAGGUAUUGUAAUGAAAUGCAGAAGUUGGACUGAAGCUGAAGAUAUGCGCUAGGAAGAAGAAAAGAAGAAGGCAUGGAAUCCAGUAACUGAAGGCGUGAUCAAGAGGAAGAGCUUCAGCAAAGGCACGUAUGCUCAACCACGCCUUUGCUGGGUUUCAUCUAUUCCAACAGAAAGCCAAGAAGCACGGCAACUUGCAGCUGAAAUUAGGACACGUGUUUGAUUCUUAUUGGUGUAGUUAGGAGUCUGUUAGAGGCUGAUAACUUUAUAAGCAGGCCUGUCUGCUUAAUCGAUUCUUAGCUUUUGAAUCAAUUUUGUCCAGAUUAGUUGUAAUAGCUUGGGAGCGAUCCUCAUAAUUUCCCUCCUAAAUUUUCCUUCUGAUCUUACACCUUCUUAGAUAAAUUCAUUACUUCUAUUUCUUGUAAUUUGUUUCAGAUUCAUUAAUGAAAUUGAGCUCAAUACAAUCACUGUUACAUUGAUCAACUACUGAACCUUACAAUCAAGUUUGCUUCCUUUUACAUUUUCUGCACUUUGGCUUCUGUACCAUAACAAACGAUUUCGAAUUCGGGUAAAGUCGCCGUUUCUUGGCAACUUGGCCAGCUUAUAGCGAUGCUUUCUCCUUCAGCUCAUUCGGACGUUUAGGAUCUUUAACGAGGGCUUUGUAAAGAGCUUUCGCUUCACUUCAAAUGUCCCAGCCAUUAACCGGCAGUUAUUAAUUUUCAUACACCGCCUCUCCCUUGCCAAAGCACUGAAAUUCCUCGCCAUUGGUAUCUGUUGGGAGAAUGGCGAAGAAAAUGAACCAGCCCCCGUCAUUGUGGUUUUCAGUCUAGCCAACUCUUGGCAUAAAGCUGGCCCGAUCAAUAUUUCUCUGAGAACGAGAAUGACCCACCUGCCGGCCGGCGUCCAAAAGCAAGAAAAAAAAAUCAUUUUCCUGCUUUAUUUUUCACAGGCGGUUUUGGGUUUUGGGCUCAAUAAUAAGCUUAGGCUUAUUUCAGUGGGUUAUCUAUGCUGAAGACCCAGAAUUAUGCUUUUAAAUUCAACCAUUAUAGUUCCGACUAUGGGAAAAUUACUAUCGGGUAAGUCUUUUGAAGUUGGGGGGACAAAAUGCUAAAUACUUCAUCGAUUCUAUUUAUUACGUAAUUAUUCCUAUCAUACCGUUUGCCCUUUUUUGCCUCCCACCCCUCCCAUACCAUUCCUAACACCAUAUUAUACCCUUAUAAUACAUAUUGGCAUGUACCUUAAAAAAUAUUCUUGAAAAUACUUGUACAUUUCACAUAAUCUUAUAAAAUGCGUAAUAAACUUUUGCAUAUUGUACUUCUUGAAUUAUAUUUUAAUUUUUGGGAAAGUUUCUUCAUAUGUGCAUGUAAUAAUAAAGAUAUAUUCGUCACUUAUACGUAAAACAGCACCUAUGUAUCUCAUCACUUUAUAGAUUUAUAUAUAUGUAUCUCAUGCUAAGUAUUCCAACUCUAGUUGAGUCAAGGGAUUUUAUAGCUCUCCCUAGUUAACUCUCUCCAAUCAAUAAUUGAAUGCUUACCCUACCAAUAAAGAACACUUACAAGUGAGGCCUACUUCUCUAAAGUUUUACUCCUCCUCAAUGAGAAACUUCACAAAUCCAAGAACUUUUCCCACAUCUAUACAAUAUUCAAAAUAUUUUUCUAUCCAAAAAGCACUAUUAAAAGCUUAUAUCUCAUAUAGACAAAAGUCCCUCUUCUUUUCAAACUUGGAGGUAUUAAUAAGUAGUGAAAUUUUGCUCCAAAAGUCACUUCAAUGGUUAAAAAGACUAACUAUUAAAAACUAGCCGUUGAACUUGUCGAACAUCUGAUUCAAAUGCUCUGCAUCCGAACCAUCAUCUAAUCCUACUUUGCAGUUUCUUUGUUGAAUCAUUUGACAAGCUGAUGUAGCGUUCGAGAGAUGCGUUUGACAGAAAUAGAGAGUUUAGCCAACUUCUCGAACGUCUGAUCGCCAUGUUGUGCAUCCAAUCCAUUGUCUGAUCAUUAGAGUUAGCAUUUCUUUUCAUUCAUCAGAUGUCCUAUCCUUCUAACCAAUGUCUGAAAUUUUGUCCGAUACUCAUAAACAAAUUUCAUUUCUUCUUAAUCUUCAUCUUUUCUUUUGCCAAAUAUUUAAGCAUCCAUACUAGUAAAAUUCUCACUCAAAAUUUUAUUUGAAAUCAUAAUUUUAACUUAUUAAUUAUCAAAACCAAGGAUUGAUCAAUCUAAAUUUUCAAUGUCUUCUUUUUUUAUGAUAACAAAUAAAAUGAUAAUUUCUUUGAUCAAAUAAACUCAAAUUGAUUCCCCCUAAAAACAAGCCCAUCAUUCAAAAAAAAAAUUAUCAUUCAAUCUACUACCCUUUUUAGUAUUAUAAAAAAUAAAGCAUAUAAGUAUGAGGGAAAAAUUGUUUAUGAAUUAAUUAUGAAUAGCUCUCCCUAAAAUCAACCACGUAGCAUUUUCAAGUGUCAUAACAACGAGACUUCCCAUGAGAUAUUACAUUUGACUUUCUCCUCAAUUAAGACAAUAUUGUUAAUGCCAAAACUCUUCCUUAAAAUAACUAUGUAGAUCAAAUAAGCAUAAAAUAAUAAAUUAAAAUUGAAGAAUUACUUCCCUUUAAAGGCAUAUAGUCAAGCACAUAUAAGGGAAUUCAUAUAAAAGAUCAUUUCAAGUCAAUUGUUACUCAUUCUUACAAUAGUUCCUGCUAUUUCAAAAAAUGCAUCAAUAAGAACCAAUGACUAUAUAAAAACAUCAUCAAAAUAAGACUUGAUUAACAAUUAAUCAUAUGUGAUGUAACUAUCUCAUUUAUUAUGAGGCUAAGAACAUUCUUAUGCAUUCAUCUAUCUAAACAAGAUAGAAGACAUGAGGAUCACUAUGGAUGUCUAAUAUAUUUUCUUAUAAGAUGCUAACAUGCAUAGAUAUAGCAUUUAAAUAUAAAAUUGGAAAAAAAUUCACUUGUACAAAAUAAUAUGUCAAAUUUAACUAAAUUAGGACAAAAUGUUCUCACACAUAACCAAGGUGAUACAUUAUACCUAAUGAUUAAACUAUGUCAAACUUACGCAACUUAGCAUAGUCCACAUACAUGACUCAUGGCAAGUUAACAUUGAGGAUUUUAAAAAAUACUAACUCUUUUGAAAAGUGAGUGCUCCCCUUUCAUUUUGCAAGGCAUGAAUUCAUUUAGAAAAUAUUAGGAGUUAUCACAAUCAAGCAUUUAUCUAACCAAAAUCAUCAAUUUGAAUGCCAUUUUCAAAUAUAGGACAAAUAUGAAUGAAACUUCAAAAUAGUUAGACAUUCCAAUACCAUGUGUUCUAUUCUUAAAACAAAUGUAAAUUACAAUACAUGACACGACUAAGUGUGUAAUCAAUUCUAAUUUACAAUACCAAUAUUCGAAGUAAAUAAUAUAGUUUAAGUUUUUGAGAUCAAAACUCAUGGUUGGCACACUUUGUUUUAUUUAGGAGUCAUAUAACCUCUUGUGAGUCAUGAUGAAUUCUAUCAUCACCUUAGUUUCUUUCUUGCUUACUUUACUAUUUUCCACCCUUUUAUAUUUUUGACUCCAAGUAGCAUCAUGUGACAUCCAUUGAGGUUUACUUGGGUCAAGUUCUCUAUAGUAUAUCUAAAUAACAGAAAUUAUUUUGAUAUCCAUUCUUCUUGGGUUCGAGGGGGAUUAGUGGUGUUUUUCACUAUCCAAAUGACCUUCAUUCCUAAAUCAACAUUUCUUUUUAAAUAACAAUCAUUUUUCAUAUGACAGUAUUGACAACAAUAAUUGCAUAUAACAUCAUCAUUUUUAACAUGUGACAAUUUCAUAAAGCAAAAACCAUCCUUUAUAAAAAUAGUGAAGUUUUUGUCAGCAAUUGUGUUCCUACCCUCUUUUUUUUCUAAAAUACUUUGUUUUCCUUUUGAAGAGAAUCAUUAAAAUCAUCUAUUUUUUUCCUUAACCAAGUUUGAUCUUCUAUGAUCUUUUCAUGAUACCGAGUUUUCUCAUUCAAUUUUCUUUUCAAAUCAUCCUUUUUACAAACAAAGCCAACUCCAUUUUUUUUUUCAAAUCGUCAUUUUCUUUUUUUAGUCUCUUAUUUUCUUGAAAAAGUUCAGAGUUCUUAUUCAACAAAACAUUUAUUUUAGUUUUUUAUUCUUUAUUCUUAAAUUGUGAAAUAUUUUGAGUAUAAAUGCUUCAACACCAUUAUUAUCACCAACAUCACUAUCAUCUUCAUUAGCAAAAAGGAAAUUAGUUGAUAUCUCGGUAUUUUUAAAAGUUAUAAAUGCCAUUUGAUCUCUUUCACAUUCUUUUUCAACUUUACUACCCGAACUACAAUCAUUCCAAGUGAUUCGGAAGUUAUUGAAGUUUUGUCUCCUAUUUCCUCUAACUUUUGUGGUAUUUAAAAAUUGGUUGUUGUUUGGCCCAUCUCUUUUGAAUCUUCUUUUGUUGUUAAAGAGUUUCUUGAAGUUUUGGUCAUAAGAGUAACAUAAUUUUCAUCAAGCUCUAUGUCCUCACAAUUAAGUAAGAGUAAAUCAUCUUUUUCUUGAGAAGUUUUGAGUGCAAUGCUCCUAUUGAGUCUAGUUUCCUCUUGAUCUUGCACUUUUAAUUUUAGUUUCAACUUAUAAGAGAUUAAUGAAUUAAUAAAAUUUUUGCCUCUUCAUUUGCCAUGGCUUUAGUUUCCCACUUUUUAAACAAAGCAUUCAAAAAUUUGCUAUUUCGUUCAUCUAAAGAAUAUUGUUUUACCAAGUACUUCAAAAUCUUUGAUAAUAUCAUUAAAUUUAUCAUACAUCUUAUCAACAUUAUCAUUUUCAUGAGAUUCCAUUUUAAAAUAUUCAUAUUGAGUAACAAGUAUAGAUUUCUUUUAUUCUCUAAUAUCAUCACUAUCUUCAUGAAUUUCUUUGAACUUAUCCCAUAUUUCUUUAGCCAACUUGCACCGUUUAAUUCUAGUAGAUUCAUUGGUAUCUAAAAGCAUUGUACAAAACGUUCAUAGCCUUGGCAUUCAAAUUAAGGUUAGCCUUUUCUUCAGUACUCAAUUUAUUUCUAACUUUAGGUCUAAACCUACCUGUAUUUGCAUCUAAAAUAGUAGUUUUAUAAAGAUCUUCAUUAAUAAUAUACUACAAUUCAAUAUCAAUAGAUUGUAAAAAUAUUUUCAUUUGUUCCUUUCAACUAACAUACUUAACACCAUUAAACAUAUAACAGGUGUCGAGCCUGUGCAAUAAUAAAUACCUACUCAAAUAAAAUGCAAAUUUUUGUAUAUAGCGAUGAGUAGGGUCGAAUCCACAGGAAUUGAAAAAAUUCAUUUCUUCUAGAGCCCAGAGUAUGGGAGAUUUUUAUAAAAUUAGGAAUAAUUAAACAACUCAAAUAAAAAGGACUAAAUUACAAUUAAUUGAAAUUGAAUUAAUAAUAAAUAAACUCUAGCCAAGAAAUAACUUAUGAGAUGGUUCACUCAAUUAAUCAUUGAUGCAAUAAUAAUUUCAUUUAUUCACUGAUAAAUAAGUUAUAACUAUUAAACAAGUGAUGGCAAUCAACUGUAUUAGUGAUUAAGGUAUGACCAUUAACCACUUCCCUAAUCAAGAAAUAAUUCUAGGUAUGAUUUUAGAGUUCAAUUUCUCGGAGGUUAUAAGGUGGUAAAAUGUAGAGGAUUGUUUAUUGGUAGUUAUAAGGUGAAUGUUGCUCCCUGUGAGUCUCGUAUCCUUUUUAUGUUUAAAUUAUUGUUCAUCCUUGCAUUUACUUGAACGAAUGAUUGAAUGCACACAUGAAUGUUAUUGUUUAUCAAGUAUUUUACAUUGAAAAAUUUCUAUUACAAUUAAUUGCUCUGCUACCAAUUUCUAAAGUUGAGUAGCAAUUUACUUGAACCUAUAGUACUUGGAAAAACAUGUUUACAUGUUAAAUUAUGUUAUUCUCUUAUUUUACCUGUUUAUUUGGAAUGCUCAUAGGGCAUAAGCUUAUCUCACGUUUUGUUUUCCUUAAUAGGAUUCGGAUCCGAGAGUGCUCAAGAAUACUGUUGGAAUAUUUUGAGAGAUUUUAAGUUUUAUUCUAGUAGUAAUGACUACAGUGUAUAUAUUUUUGGGUUGUAAUUAAGAUAGAUGCCGAAUGAUGAAUCUUUUGUACGUGAACCUAUGUAAUAGCUUUUGGAUGUAUGUAAAUGUUAUUUUGGGGUGUAAUGAAUAUUAUUUUUGUUAGUUUAGAAAUUUCAUGUAAUUCUUGCUAUGGAUUGUAGUGAGCUCUAGCGAGAUUUGGGUAGGCGGUCUGCUGGCCACUUUGGUUCGCCUUUGGGGAAAGUGGAACUGUCACAAUUGGUAUCAGAGUCUAAGCUUCAGAUCAUUGUAAAGUAUCCUAGGCUGAAAGUUAAGGAUAUCGAACUGUGGGACUAGUGUGGUUGUUAAGCGAAACAUUAAACAUUUAUGAUCUCGAUGGUUCUUAAGACAAGUUCUUUGCGUUUCUUAUCUAGGAAUUGGCGGGGAAAGAAGAGAAUUGUGAGAGGUUAAUUUCACGAAUAAAUGAUGAGUUUCUUGGAUAACGGUAAGACUUAAUAUCUAGGAGUCAAAUUUUUUACUUGAAGGCUUAUGAAGCUCUCAUUUCAAUUGAAAUAUCCCUUUAGGAUUUUGAAAUUCGAAUGUACUUGGCCGCAACUAGAAGUGACUCUUGGAGUGAUUGAUUAAGUACAGUUUUCUCGCAACUUUCGUUGACAGAUUUUUGUUUUAGAAAGAUAGAAUUGACCGGAUCGGUUAUGAUAUGAUCUAGUGACCAUUGAUUUUGACUUGUGUGAAAGGGAUAAUGGGGUUGGAAGUGAGAAUUGUUUAAUGUGUUUAAUGCCUUCAACUUGAAUGUGUAUGACACUUGGUUUCUGUGAGGACCCGAAAAUUAUUUUAUUUUAUCUUAUUUCUUUGAGUACAUUUUCUUUACUUUACUUUAUUUCCUUAAUUUCUCAUAUAUUUUUGUAGGUGAAUCAAGUUUUAAAUCAUUUUCUAUGUAUAAGUUAGUGCAAGUUAAAUUCGUAGUGCAUUAUGGUAGUAGGACCUUGUAAGUCCCAAAGACAACCAAGAGGGGGGGGUGAAUUGGGUUAUUCAAAAUCUUAAUCAGAUUUAGGCAAUUUUUGCUAAAUUAAAAUUUCCUUCUUUUCUAGUAAUGAUCAACCAAGUGGAUUAGAAGGCAAGAGCAAUAUUGAUCAGAAACACAAGUAUAAACAAGCAAUGAGAAUUUUAUUAAACAGAAAAGUAAAUUGGGGAAUCAAACCAAGUGUCUACCAAGCUAUCCUCAAACUUGAAGACCACACACUAGGAAGAGCAACUUCUCUUUGAUGGAAGACGAUCAACUAGAUGUACAAUGGAGGGAGCACUUCCUCCUUGCCCUAAGCCUCACUUAGUCAAGCUAAGAAGUUUUACAAUCACUCUGAAAACCCUCAACAAAGCUACACUAAAGAUCCUUUCAAUCACAAAAGAAAUGCUCACCAGAAAUUCACACCACUUUAAAACAAAUCUAGCUUUGGAGACUAUUUUCUAGCUAAAAUAUCUCUUGAGAUCUUGUAAACAAAGUGUGCAAAAGUCAGUACUUCGUUCAGACCAGUUUGAUUUUAAAGGGAACCAGAAAUGGGCUUCAUCAAUGCUUCCAACGAAUAGAAGGCAGCUGAAGAGUCAACUAGCCGUUGGGGCUGUCGGACGUCCGACGAUCAAAUCAUCGUCCGAACCAAUCGUCCGAUGGCAUCCAAGUUGACGUUCGGACGUCCGAUGCGUCUUGAUCGUCCGACACCGCAGCGUCCGAUCGUAGGCAGAGAGUUGGCAAGUCAGCUUGGAAUUUUUCGGACGUCCGAUGCGGUUGAUGAGCGUCCGAUGGCAAGCGUCUGAUCCUUCCGGACGUCCGAUGCUUCCUCACGAGCGUCCGACAGAGCUUCCUUCUUGAUGCUCUUUAUCCUUUCGGACGUCCGACAGAUUCCUUUCGGCCGUCCGACGUGAGUAUCCUGUUUUUGCUUCUUCUUUUGGUUGAAAUGCAUUUCAUGACCUAUUCAUACCUGAUUCUUUGAUAUGUAAAGACACUUAUAAUCGAAGAAGGUUAGAUACAUUUCAAAAUACCAAGAAUAGCAAAAUUGUCAUACUUAAAGGACAGUAUCUUUGAUUGGAACAAAACAAUGACUAAAUUCAUUCAUUUUAUUCCAAUCUUGUUUGCCACAUCCAAAGCAACGUAGUCAGGAGAUAAACGAACAUAUGCUUUCUUUGUUCCAUCAGACCUGAUCAAAGUGUUCACUUUCUUGGUUAGUAUAAACAUUUCAAAUUACUUUGUGAUCAUCAAAACCAAGAAUAACAUUCUCCCCCUUUUUGAUGAUGACAAAACAAAGGUUUGAAAUGAGAUUUGAUGAUUUGAAUAAAAUCUCCCCCUUUCACAAUAGACAAGAACUCCCCCUUUCUUAGUGAAUCAUAAACAAUUUUGAAAAACUCCCCCUCACUUGGCUGCCCAACCGAAUUACACAAUUAUCCAAUUAUACAAGCCAAUCCAAUCAAUCCAAUAUCAAUCCAACAUCAUCAAAUUCAAUCCAAUAUCAAUCUAUAGAUCCGGCCAUCUCCCCCUUUUUGUCAUCACAAAAGGGUAAUCAAUUUCAUCCAUAAAUGCAAACCACAGUCAUUCACAAACACAGUCAUUACACCAAUGCAAACCAAAUUCAUUAUAUUCACACAAUCAGAAUAGACAAACAAACAUCCAUCAAAAUACUUAGACAUCCAUCAACACAGUACUUAAACAUCCAUCAAAACACACCAAAAGAAACUUAGAAUAUCCAUUACAUUUCAUAUUCAUUGUUAAAUACCACAAACACAUAAAUAAGAUAAACAAAAUGCAAAUGUCCUAAAUGAUGAACUAAGUGGAUCCAGGUGUCCUCCGAGAGAGCUGAUAUUGGUCAAGAUCCUCCUCUUCAGUUUCUUCAUCAUCUUCAGCAGCCUCUUCAACUGGUGCCUUGCCUUUAUCUGAUGUAGAGAUGCCAUGAGGAGUCACAGGGGUUGAAGAACCAGGAUCCGGAAUUGAUGAACUUGGAUCAGUGGGGUGUGACUCUUUGUCAUGGGAAACUUCCUCAACCACAGGUGGAGGAAAAAGAAGAUUCUUUUUGUCAAGAAAGGCAGUUUGUUGCUCAGAAGACAUGGUGAGCAUGAGACCAUGUUCUAGAAGAAGAACAUGCUGUUUGAGUUCUUGAAGAAGCUCAAUUACUUCAUUACUGGAAGAGGAAGAUGCUUUAGUGGCAGAUUUCCUAGGGUGAAUGGGAGUGAGUGAAAUGGGUGAAGGAUCAUGUGCAGUCUUGGACCUAAGUUCACUAGAAGAUGCACCCUUAUAAGCCCACAGAUUAUCUUUGAAAACAAGAUUUUUCCUUUCAAAAUACCCUUUUGUAAAGGCAUAAGAAGAUGCUUCUUUAGGACAAACACCUAGAAUAGGGACUUUGUUAAACUCAAAAAUCUUUUGAAAAAACUUUCCAUAAGAUAAUUUUCUGCGAGAAUCAGUGGCAUAGCGAAGUAAGAACUUGCACAUGACAAAACCAAAAUCAAUACGAAUUUUUUCUUGAAAACAAUAAAAGAGGUACAACUCCAUUUUGUUUGCAUCAGUUCUAUGGCCAUCAGUAGGCACAAGCAGGUUUGAAAUGAUAGAAAAAGCAAUUAAAUUCACAGGGGCCAGAUCAUUCAAUUUAGCAUCAGCAGGUGAGGAAAAACUUCUUUUGAAAUAGGUUAACAUUUUUGUCCCAUCAAAAUGAUUUGCCACAGUCGGGAGCUCUUCAUAGGAAAAGAAAUUAGCAAUCUUAUCUUUGCAUAAACGUUCAAUGGUAGUAUUUAAAAUGGAGUUCACAAUUUCAGAGUCAAUGAUUAAGUCUACCCCAUUAACCCUGGAAAAUAUUUCAGUUGGGUCAGAACCUUUCCUUAAAUUGGCAAAAAAUUGAUGCAACAUAUCAGGAUAGUAGACAUUUGGCAUAGAAAUAAGAUGUGACCAUUUCUGGAAAGCAAAUAGACUCAGAAUGGAUUCUAAACCUAUGGAGCGAAAUUCAGAGGGGUUUACAGUUCUUUGAGGGAUGACACCCUUCUGGGAUAUCCAGGAGUAUUUGUCUUUCGCAGCAUCAUCAAAGAAUGUAGGAGGAGGGACUGAUUUAGGAGGCGGUUGAGAAGAGGUCCCCUGUCCAGAUUCUGGUUGAGAAGUGAGUUGUGGAGUAGGUCGUGACAUUUGACCCUUGAUAGCUCCCCUUUUGAAGCGUUUAGAUGUCCGUUUGACAGUGGGAAGAUCCUCAUCCACAUCCCUGAGUGGAUGCUUGCGUCCGGCAGUAACUUUUCAUCCCCUUAGAUUCACCAUUGCGCGAAAUGUGUGGAAUGAAGAAUGCAAAUGAUGCACACAGCAGUAGGGAAGUGAAUCGAACAAAAAUUUUGGAACAAAAGACCUUGUACAAGAUUUGACAGAGCGGUUAUGAGAAGGUAGGGUUUUGAGGAAAAUUUGGGAAUGUGCGAAGUGAUAGAUGAUUCUGUGAAAUGAUCAGGAAAAAUGACUCGCAAUUGACCAGGAACUGUUUUGGUUGAGUCAAUUUGGGAAUGGGGGCUUCAGAAUAAUAUGAAUUUGGGAGUGAGAGACAAGAGGGUUUUCGUCCGAGAGAAAAUGAAAUGGGAAGAGUCUGAGGCAAUUGAGGAAGAAAGUUGUUUUAAAGAAUGAGCCGUUGCACUGUCGGACGGCCGAACGAAGUUGUGCGUCCGACAGCUGCGUCCGAACAAGCGCAAUCUGGAAAAUGGCUGAAGAACAUCAUCGGACGUCCGUUCACUUUAUUUCGGACGUCCGAAGACCCAAAGAAAAUUAAGAUGAUUUUUCGAUUAUUCCUAAUUUUGAUCUUAGAUGAAUGAACUGUUCUAAUGGCAAAGCUUUGGUAAAAAUAUCAGCAAAUUGAUCUUUAGAACAAACAUAAUUUACACAUAUGUCACCUUUUUGAACAAGAUCACGAAUAAAGUGAUGCUUUAUAUCUAUGUGCUUUGUCCUAGAAUGAUGAAUAGGAUUUUUGGUCAAAUUUAUAGCACUAGUAUUAUCACAGAAUACAGGCAUGCAGUCAUACAACAAUCCAAAAUCAUUCAAAGUGUGCUUCAUCCAUAAAAGUGGAGCACAACAUGCACUAGCGGCAAUAUAUUCCGCUUCGGUUGUAGACAAAGAUAUUGCAUUUUGCUUUUUGCUAAACCAAGAGACUAAACAAUUUCCAAGAAAAUGACAAGUUCCACUAGUACUCUUUCUAUCCACACGACAACCUCCAAAAUCAGCAUCCGAAUAACCGUAUAGUGCAAACUCAUUAGAUCUAGCAUACCAAAGUCCAUAGUCUAAUGUACCUUUCAAAUACCUAAAAAUUCUUUUUACAGCAUUCAAAUGUGAUUCUUUUGGACAAGAUUGAAAUCUAGCACACAAGCAAACAGCAAACAUAAUAUCAGGUCUACUUUCGGUUAAAUAGAGUAGGCUUCCGAUCAUACCUCUAUAUUGCUUUUCAUCCACAUGAUUACCUUCUUCAUCUUUGUCAAGCUUUGUAGAAGUGCACAUUGGAGUUCCAACUUGCUUUGAGUCCUCCAUGCCAAACCUUUUCAGCAACUCCUUGGUAUAUUUUGCUUGAUUUAUAAAAAUUCCCUCAAGAGCUUGAUGUAUUUGAAGUCCAAGGAAGAAAUUUAAUUCUCCCAUCAUACUCAUUUCAAAUUCACUUUGCAUAGUGGUGGAAAAAUCCUUGCAUAGAUACUCAUUAGUAGCACCAAAAAUAAUAUCAUCAACAUAUAUUUGCACAAUAAGAAGGUCAUUCAACACUUGCUUAGGAAAAAGUGUGGUGUCCACAACACCCCUUUUGAAACCAUUUUCAAUCAAAAAACCACUUAGUCUUUCAUACCAAGCUCUUGGAGCUUGUUUUAGACCAUAUAAAGCUUUAGAUAGUUUAAACACAUGACUUGGAAAUUUUGUAUUUUCAAAACCGGGGGGUUGAUCCACAUAUACUUCUUGAUCAAUAAAACCAUUUAAAAAGGCACUUUUAACAUCCAUUUGAAACAAUUUGAAGCCUUUAAAGCAUGCAAAAGCAAGAAGCAUUCUAAUAGAUUCUAAUCUUGCUAGAUCUUGAUUUCAGCUUUAUGAACAAAGAGGGAUCACCGGUCAUAUGCCUUGAACAACCGCUAUCAAUGAACCAUUUGGACUUGUGUGAGCAUUUUUCCUGAAAAGAGAAAGUGUUUGGUACCCAUUUUAAUUUUUGGGUCCAUAAUAGUUAGCAUUAUAUCUAACUAACCACAUGCAUUUCAUCCCUUUGUUCAGAUUUCUUUUCACAUAGCAAUCACUUUUCAAAUGCCCUCUUUGACAACAAAAACCACACAUAAUGGAAGAGUCCUUAACAUGUACUGGUUUGACAUAUCUUAAUCCACCUUUUCUAUAUGUUGUGAAACCAUGUGCAUUUUUGUUGUGUGCAAAUGUUCUUUGAAAAAUAGUAGGAUGUGUAGGUGACAUGUUCCUUUUGAUAAACUCCUGCUUUCUUGCUUUCAAAGUCUCAUCCAAGUUGUCCAUUCUCCUUUUUAAAUCACCAUGUCUUUCCUUCAGCAUUUUACAAAUAUUUGUCUUUCUAUCAAGCUCAUUCUGAACAUCAAAUCCGGCUCUUACAAGACAUUCAUUGUCAGUUUUUAGUUGUUUAUUUUGUUGAAGGAGACAUGCAUUUUCAUGAAUGAGAAAAGCAAUUUUCUGUUUUAGCUGCUUGUUCUUAUCAUAAGAUUCCUUCAAAGCAUUAUGCAGUUUUUCAACAAAGGAUUCAAGAUCAUCAUCUUCUUCAUCAUCACUUUCAGAUUGAGAGUGUAUGGAAGUUACCUCAUUAUCUCCAAUAGCCAUGAAGGCCAUUUGAGCUGAUUCUUCCUCUUCUUCAACUUCCCCUUCAGAGUUGCAUUCAUUCCAAGUAAUCUGGAAGUUGUUGAAUCUUGGCUUUCGAUCAGCUUUUCCAUCUUUCAUUUUCUUCAUGGGGCAUUCGUUUGCAUAGUGUCCAGGCUGUCCACAUUCAUAGCAUUUGUCCACUUGCUUCUUGUUGAAUUCUUGUUUUCCUUUGUUCCUUGCAUUUGAUGAAUAAUUUUGGAAUUGAUUGCUAGGUCCUCCCUUUCUGAACUUCCUUUUAUUCAAGAUUCUUUUGAAGCCUCUUGUGAUGAGAGCAAGAUCAUUAUCAUCACCAUCCGAAUCUUCAUCAUCCAAGUGAGCUGGAUCAUCUUCACUUUGAGUAGUCUUUAGAGCAAUAUUUCUUUUUGCUCUAGCAUCCUCUUCCUCCUGCACUUUAGAUUUCAGUUUUAACUCAUAAGAGGUUAGUGAGUUAAUGAUAGAUUCAAUAGGCACAGAACUUAAAUCCUUAGCCUCCUCUAUUGCAGUCACUUUAUUUUCCCAUUCUUUGCCCAAUGCAUUGAGAAUUUUUCUGUUCUUCUCUCCCAAGGUGUACUCUUUGCCCAACACCUCGAGAUCUUUGAUCAAGUCAGUGAACCUGCAAAACAUUUUGUCAAUAUCCUCAAGAGGUUCAAUCUUAAAAGAUUCAUACUUUGUGACCAAGAUGGCCUUUCUCUGUUCUCUCACAUUGUCACCACCCUCAUGGAUUUCUCUUAACUUAUCCCACAUUUCUUUGGCUGAUUUACAGCCUUUCACUCUAAUUGAUUCAUUUGAAUCUAAGGCACUAUAAAGAACAUUCAUGGCCUUGGCAUUCAAUGUGAGGUUAGUCCUGUCUUGAGCAUUCAUUUCAGCUCUCAUUUUUGGCCGAAGCAGCCCUGUAUCUGCAUCAAGAAAGUUAGCUUCAUGCGGUCCUUCACUCACAAUAAACCACAGUUCAAUAUCAAUAGAUUGCAAAAAAUAAUCAUCCGUUCUUUCCAGCUAACAUAGUUGGAGCCACUGAACAUGGGAGGCCUAGUAACAGAUUGCCCCUCAACAAACAUAGCAUGACUGGUUGUCAUCUUUACUCCAAGCCGUUAGAGCUUAAUCUCAAGGAGACCAAGCUCUGAUACCAAUUGUAAGUCCCAAAGACAACCAAGAGGGGGGUGAAUUGGGUUAUUCAAAAUCUUAAUCAGAUUUAGCAAUUUUUGCUUAAUGAAAAUUUCCUUCUUUUCUAGUAAUGAUCAACCAAGUAGAUUAGAAGACAAGAGCAAUAUUGAUCAGAAACACAAGUAUAACAAGCAAUGAGAAUUUUAUUAAACAGAAAAGUAAAUUGGGGAAUCAAACCAAGUGUCUACCAAGCUAUCCUCAAACUUGAAGACCACACACUAGGAAGAGCAACUUCUCUUUGAUGGAAGACGAUCAACUAGAUGUACAAUGGAGGGAGCACUUCCUCCUUGCCCUAAGCCUCACUUAGUCAAGCUAAGAAGUUUUACAAUCACUCAGAAAACCCUCAACAAAGCUACACUAAAGAUCCUUUCAAUCACAAAAGAAAUGCUCACCAGAAAUUCACACCACUUUAAAACAAAUCUGCUUUGGAGACUAUUUUCUAGCUAAAAUAUCUCUUGAGAUCUUGUAAACAAAGUGUGCAAAAGUCCUACUUCGUUCAGACCAGUUUGAUUUUAAAGGGAACCAGAAAUGGGCUUCAUCAAUGCUUCCAACGGAUAGAAGGCAGCUGAAGAGUCAACUAGCCGUUGGGGCUGUCGGACGUCCGACGAUCAAAUCAUCGUCCGAACCAAUCGUCCGAUGGCAUCCAAGUUGACGUUCGGACGUCCGAUGCGUCUUGAUCGUCCGACACCGCAGCGUCCGAUCGUAGGCAGAGAGUUGGCAAGUCAGCUUGGAAUUUUUCGGACGUCCGAUGCGGUUGAUGAGCGUCCGAUGGCAAGCGUCCGAUCCUUCCGGACGUCCGAUGCUUCCUCACGAGCGUCCGACAGAGCUUCCUUCUUGAUGCUCUUUAUCCUUUCGGACGUCCGACAGAUUCCUUUCGGCCGUCCGACGUGAGUAUCCUGUUUUUGCUUCUUCUUUUGGUUGAAAUGCAUUUCAUGACCUAUUCAUACCUGAUUCUUUGAUAUGUAAAGACACUUAUAAUCGAAGAAGGUUAGAUACAUUUCAAAAUACCAAGAAUAGCAAAAUUGUCAUACUUAAAGGACAGUAUCUUUGAUUGGAACAAAACAAUGACUAAAUUCAUUCAUUUUAUUCCAAUCUUGUUUGCCACAUCCAAAGCAACGUAGUCAGGAGAUAAACGAACAUAUGCUUUCUUUGUUCCAUCAGACCUGAUCAAAGUGUUCACUUUCUUGGUUAGUAUAAACAUUUCAAAUUACUUUGUGAUCAUCAAAACCAAGAAUAACAAGACCUACUAACGCGGUAUGUGCGAUAAAUUUUUGAAGAUUAGGAGAGUUUUGUGCAAAGAGAUAUUAUUUUAUAAGGUGUUUAUGGGAUAAUUAGAGGUCGAUUAGAUAUUUUAAUGAUUGGAAGACAAUAGGAUUGUGACGCCCCACCUCCCCCUAGGGCGUACCCCAGGGUUUAGUGGACGCCUGCCCAACUCUAGCCAGGCUCACUCACUCAUAACUAAGGAAAAAAAACUAAUAAUACAUCCAUAGAAAAUAAAUAACACAUCCACUUUAAUUUAAUAUAUACAUUGAUGUUUAAAUCAGGUACAAAGCUUCUACAUACCAAAGUACUUCAAAAUAUUUACAAUUCAAGUACAAUCAACCCUAGUCGGGUACCAGUAUGAGUACAAAUUCAAAAUUCAAAACAACUAGACUAUACUAGCCUGUACAUGUUUCAUGCCUCGCUCGUACCCCCCUGUAAGGAAAACAAAUGGCGUGGAAUGAGCUAAAAGCCAGUGAGGUUUCAAAUAACAAAUGACCAUUUUUUAAAAGUACGAAUAUCAAUGUAGCAAAUUAAUGAGCUCAAAAGUUCAAAAAAGUGACAAUAAUACUUCAAGUAGCAAAUCUCAAAGUGAGCAAGUAUAAAAGUUUUCAAAAGAAAUAAUAAUCCAAUAAACAAUAAUCAUUCCAAAGUAUAAGGAUACGGAUGGCUCUCAGGAGCCAAAUUCCAUUGCAUCACCAGAAUUUGAUCAAGUAAUAGUUGCACUCCAUCAACCUUUAAGUAAGUAACCAAUCCAGUAGCACCACUUAAACUACUCCCGUCCACCAUCCACACCCCCUACUGGGCUCAAAAUCCUCAAUAAACACUGGUGGUAAUACUGAGUAUACCGAUUAGUCGAGAAAUAACACUCCAUUCGACAUCACUAACUCACCAUGAUUCGUUAUCUAAUCGACCAAGCCCUUGCCGGCUUGACUCGAUUAACUAGCCAGUGGGGUUGGGUCCCCAAGAAGUCGAUGAGAUAACAUCUUCAAUCGACGAACUAAAUAAAAGUAUAGAGAUAGGAAUGAGAGGCACCUCCCACUCAAAUUGAGUAUGGUACAUACUGCGCCUCCAUACUUACAAAUCAAGUACAAGUAUAUCAAGUUAAUUGCAACAAUAACAAGUAUAUAUCAUGUUAGGGCAAAGUGCGAUAAAGUACACUCUUGUCCGAUCAACAAAUCUCAUAUCAUUUAUUUAUAUUGAUCAAGUAUUGUGAACAAGUGUCCAAUUCAACAAGGUAUUUGGAAGCACUCACAAAAGAUGCGGUGCCUUUACGAGUUACGUUCGGAUAUUAUUCGUGGUGGAGUCCAAAUCUACGAUAAAACAUUGUUUAAGAGCUUUUGAAAGUAACUAAGGUUCGAAACUUAAACAUAUUUCGUUUAACGAGAAUCACAUAAUUGAAACUUAUUUGAUAGAAUAUUUAUAAACUCAUGCUUGGUCUUAAAACUUGGAAAAUUUGAACCAAGUAUACUUUGAAAUACCAUUUGAGUCGAAGAAUGGAGAAAAUGUAUUCUAGUAGUCGUUACUUUCAUGUUAUCCAAGAGGUACAAGUUUUCGACAAAAUUUAAGUUAUAUACCCUGACUAAAAAAAAUGUAAACACCAUAGGUGAUCUAUGCCCAACUUAACCUCAAAUCGUCACUCAGGUCGCAGGUAUAUCCACCUAGCCCUCGAGUGUAGAUUUGAGCAGCACGUCCUUUGUAUUUACCUAUUUCCAACCAUUUAUGGCUUCAUUCUUUUCUUCAAAUCAAUCCCCAAAGUUACACACAAAAUCAUCUCAUUUCAAUAGCAUUCCAUAGGCUCAAAGUCAUAUAAGUACCAAAUCAAACUAGGAACAUGUGCGGAAAUGAAGUUUGCGUCAAAAAACAAAAGACAGAUUUGACGUGUUUUUACGUAACAGACACAACCGAGGCUACGCUUAUCGGAUUGAGGUGAAACUAUAUACCAUUUCGAAGCUAAAACAAAAGGUUACAACUUUGAUGAAGACCACUUAGUCCAGUUCGUAGUGUAUCUAGCUCAAAAUCUCAAAUGACAGAACCAGAAUCUCACAUUCAGGCUUGGUAACCGCCUUAUGCGUAAACGACAAUAAUCCGGCUACGAAGUCCAAUUAGGGCAUUUUUAGGGGUGUUAGAAAGCUAAGACAUAGCACUACAAAUUCUGUGUUUUGGCCAGAUACUAAUUCAGUAAGGAUCAGAGUGAACAGAUGCGGUCAGAUUGGUGAAAUGUCAAAACUGUCCAUUGGACUGAACCUAUGGUAGUCAGGGAUAUUUUUAUCUUUUCACAUGUUCCAAUGCUCUGAUUGAGCUGAAAUUUACAGACAGCUAUAAACUAUAAUUCUCUACAACUUUCAUGUUUGUAUUAAGGCUAAUUCGGCCUCUAACAUGAUCAAACAGUGCGGUCAGAACAGGGAAAGUAGAAAACUGAAAUCUGGAAUUCAUGAAUACAAGUAAUAAUCUUCACAAUUCUAGCUUGGAAACACUACUUCACUUCCUUAUCUAUACUUAUUCACAUCAUAAUCCAUCUAAACAAGAAGAAAUAUGGCUGAACAAUACAAAAUCCUAACUUACUAAUUCUCCCAAAAUCAUCACAACUACUUGCAUAGCUACCAAUUUACCCAAAACAUGUAGUUGUAUAGCAACUUAAGCAAGAGUAAAGGAACCAAAGAUGAUGGACAGCCAAUAUACCUCUCAAAGAUGCUUGUAAGAGUUAUCCACCACCCUUUCCUUGUAAACCUUUUGCACACCAAGCUUUCCAAGUGCUCAAAGAAAGAUUUAACCGGUUUAGAAUCUUGUUUUCUCACUCAAAUGGAUCAAGCUCAAGAUGAAAUGGAGUUCUUUUCUUGCUCUCUCUCUCCCUCAAGCUCAUGGUUUUCAGCUAGAAAAAUGGAGAAGAUUGGAGGUUAAGAAAGGUUAUAAGACUUGGUCUUGGUUUGGGUCAAAGGUGCUUGGAUAGCCUCCACUUGUCACCACCAAAUUCCAUCUCAAUUUUUUUUUCUUUUUCCUUGUGUUUUUUCGUCAAUAAUUUCGGCCAACCUAAGCUGAGGAUGAGGGGAUAUUUUGCACUAUUAUCAAGGAUAUUUUAUGGUAAGGAAGUGGUAGUCAAGUGGUGUACUCAUUCGAUAACAAACGGUACCCAUCGGUUCAACCCGAUUUUUCUUAAAUCGCGUAUACUAGGGUUUUAUCUUAUAAUUCACUAACUUAUUAUUAUCACUUCUAAUUACACACUUAAUAUCAUCUAAAACUCACUCUUAAUCACUAAAUUUGAUCCCCAUUCUGUACCGGAUAAUCACACUACGGAUAGGCGUAAAAACCCUAAUUCGCGCUAACUUAAAAACCAAAGGGAAAAUCCUUAAUUCUAUAUUCAUUUACACUUAUUGUGGGUGAUUGGGUAGUAUGGCUAUUAGAAAGUAAUAAUUUCCAAAUAAAAUGGAAGUUUUAAGAAAAAUAUAAGGAAUUUCAAGUCCUCACAAGGAUGAGGAUUAACCAUGGCAAACCAUUUGCCACAAAAGCCUUGGACCAUUGACUUUGGCUAAGACCUUUCUUAACCUUUUAUUAACCAAAAAUUGACCAAAAAUCCUAUCAUCUUCUCCCUCUCUUGGCUGACCUUCAUGAGCAAGAAAGAAGAAAGAAAGAAACAACUCCAUUUCCAACACAAAAAACCUUGCUGAUUCUUGAGUUUUCACCUUAAUCUUGCAAAUCAAUCCAUAAAAGCUGAAUUUGAGGUAGGAGGGCGGCGAACUUUGGUGGAGAGUUUUUUGGAGGAAGAAGUUUGUGGCUGCUCGGUCGUCUUUGGGUUUCUAAGUAACAAAGUCUAGAAACCAUCUCUUGUUAUUUAACUUGCUUUUGAGUGGAUUUAAGGGCUUAAAUUAUGGUGGUAUUCAUGGAAAAUUUCAUGGUUCAUGUGGUGGAUCAAAAUUUUCAGAUUUGAUGGAGAAUUUCCAGCUUUGAUGAGUUCAUUUCAGUUGUGUUAUGAUUUAUUAGCAUUAGCAUAUGAUUUUUCAACUUUCCAAUGCUUGUUUGGCUUUAUAAUAGAAAUUUUCAACUUGUGAUUAUGAAUUUCAGCAUAGGAUUUAAUUUUUCUAACUUGAGUAGGUGAUGGUUAUAUGCUAGGUAUAUGCUUGAUUUAGUGAGUUGUUGGUCUAGUAUGUAUAUGCUUGAUUUGAGACUGUUUUAUGGUGAGAAUGAAGCCUUGAAAAUGGCUGGAAAUUAGGAAAAAAAGGGAAAGUGCUGCCAAAAAUUUUUUCGUAGGAGACUCUAAGUAGUCUUGGAAAAUCUAUCAUAUCUUGGUGUAGAAAAAUUCAAAUUGAGUUCUGCUUAUUGAGUUUGAAACUAGAUUCAGAGUACUUUCUAUCGUGAAAAUUUCAAAGUUUUCCUCAAUUCCUGUGAAUAUCUGUGAUUUUUCAAAAUUGACUGAAUUUUCAUUCCUGUUUUGACUUUCUACCAGCCGCUUGAGAUUGGAAUUUGACUGACUUGUGGAUAGAAUCUUUCAAAAGUAUCUUCUGAGAAACCCUUUGAAUCUAUUUUCCAGCAGUAUAAAUUUUAUAAAUUUUGGACUUAAGAAACUUGAGAUAUGAUUUUUCAAAUAGCGUUGCGCGAACUGGAAAAUUCUAUUUUCCUAAAACUAUCCUUACUUUCAUUCCAACUUUAAGUUGGAGUUGUUAAACCAUUUUGAGUUUAGUUUUAUGAUUGGAAUGAGGAAAUUCUUGAUUACUCAUGUCCCUUUGGUCUAAAUGUUCUCUUUACACUCCAAAACCAUAUUUGCAUCAUUGCACUAGUAGUUACUUGAAUUUUCUUUGGUUCACCUAAGUUUUGAAUGGUUGAACUAUAAUACUUUAUCUUGAUUGUUCUUAAGAUUUGUAGGUGAUCAAGGGCAUAAUCCGAGGGGCAAAUUUUUGACGUUAUUUUGCUUAAACUGGUGAGUGUCAAGUGUAUGUUUCUUAAUAUAUCUCGAUUUGACUGAUACCACGUGUUAUGUAUUGAAUUCUGAAUUUGACGAGGCGAGAGUGUACUUUAUCGCACUUGUCCUCCCCUUCUUGAAUGAUCUUGUACUUGCUUGAAUUUGAUUGACAUGUACUUGUGGUUGUGCUUGUGCUCGACUUGUAAGUGUUGAGCGCAGCAUGUACCACACUCAAUCUGAGUGAGAGGUGCCUCUCAUCCCGUCUCAGUACUUUUAUCCUGAUUAAGUCGAUUGGAAAGUUAUCUCAUCGACCCUAGUGCUGAGCGGCAGCAUAUACCACACUCAGUCUGAGUAGAAGGUGCCACUCAUCCUAUCUCAGUACUUUUAUCCUGAUUAAGUCGAUUGGAGAGUUAUCUCGUUGACCCUUGUAUUGAGCGGCAGCAUGUACCACACUUAAUCUGAGUGAGAGGUGCCUUCUCAUCCCGUCUCAGUACCUCUAUCUUGAUUAACUCGAUUGAAGUGUUAUCUCAUCAACCAUACUUGUUCUUAUUUGCAUAUAUAAUCGAGUAUUACCACCACUAUUUCUAUUUGGCAUUCGGCCCGGUUGGGGAUGAAACGGUGGAUGGGGAUUCGUGUCAAGUGAAUCUACGAACUUGUUAUUCGCGUGGUUGACAGAGUGUCAACAAAAGAAAUGACAUCCAAGAUUGUAAAAUGGCAAGCUUGUGGAUUAGCUCCUGAGAGCUCCUGUAUCCUAUUAAUGAAUAUGUUUUAGUCCUUUUAUGACUUUACAUGAAACCAUUGUUGCUAUUUUGUAUAUAAGUUAGUUGAGUUGAAUUAUGGUACUUGUUCUACUUGCUUGCUUGAUAUCUUGGCCUCACUGACGUCCCGCUCAUCCCUUUAAAUUGUUAUUCCUUAACAAGAAUUUGAAGUAAAGAAUUGGAGGUGUUAGACUAGCUAACUCUUGUCUAGAGUUAAUGUGAUUCUCUGAGCGACUUUUGGACAUUUGGAAAUGUAUAUUUCAUUUGUAUUUGAAAUAUUAUGGUUGUAAUAGUUAACGUUAUUGCUAAGAAUUGUGGCUGUUGUUAUUCAAGUACUUUCUGGCUUUAAGAAAUUGUUUGACUUGAAAAUCGUAGUUUGGUUCGAGUGAAUGCAUGAGUUCUGGCGAAAGUUGGGCAGACAGUCCAUUAAACCCUUGGUUCGCCCUAAGGGGAGGUGGGCUGUCACAGUUUCAACUUGUAUUGAUUAAAUAGCUCUGGUUCAGUCUAAUUGGUAGCUAGAAUUGAUUGUGACUAUGUUGCUUGUGGAAAUGCUUUAGUCUAAUUUGUCAAUUAUUAUUUUUGAAUAUAUGUGCUUGUCAUUGUAUGUUCACAUGCAUAUGUGUGUGUAUGUUCAUAAUGAGUAUUGGAUUAAUACAUAUCUACAUAGACUAGUUGAGGAAAAAAAAUGGAAGCUGGAAGACAACGACGGGGACGUCCACGUGAACAAACCCAAAAUCAAAGAGAAGAGAAUGGGUCUGUGGCUAAACCAAAACACUGAACCAAGGGUUGAGGCAAAUGAUCAAGUGGCAUUGGCUAUAAAUCAUAUGACACACUUGUUAGAACAUUUAGUACUCCCACAGGGCCAAGGGGCUAGACAAGUGAAUCAACAAAGAGACCAAGAUAUCAGAGAGGAUAAAGCAUUGAGAGAUUUCAAAAGUUUUCUCCCCCUAAGUUUUUUGGGAGUCCUGAUCCCGAAAUAGCUGAAAAUUGAUUAGAAAACAUGAUAAAUAUCUUUGCUGCUCUAAGAUAUACAGACGAAAGGCAAGUGGCAUUCGCCGUAUUUCAGUUUGAGGAGCAGCACGAUUAUGGUGGAAUGUCGUAAGGACUAAGUGGGAGAGGAAACAAGUACCCUGGACCUAGCUAAAUUUUAUCCAAAAAUUUAAUGACAAAUAUAUUCCCCCUCUUGUUCAAGAAAAAAGAGAAGACGAGUUAUAAGGCUUCAUCAGGUAUCAAGGAGUGUGUUAGUAUAAGGCUCAGUUUACAAAAUUAUCCAAAUUUUUUCCAGAGUUGGUUGCUACUGAGCAAAAGAGAAAAAGGAGGUUCAUUCAGGGCUUAAGUCUGGAAAUUCAAGAAUCUUUGUCAGCAGCUCAAGUUCCUACAUUCAGUGAUGCCUUGAAAAAGGUCAAAGGUUGAAAGUAUGAAAUCUCAAUUGCGAGCUUUUCAAACACGGAAAAGGGAUGCAUCUGCCAAAGUUGGGAGAAGAUGAACCACCUUCCAAAGUUGGGAGAAGAGCUGGAAAAGUACAACUUUCACUUCCAUCUCCACCAUGGCGGGAACCAGCAGCAACUAUAAUAAAAGGAACUCAAAUUGAAAGGGAACCAUCAAGGGAAAUUCCGNNNNNNNNNNNNNNNNNNNNNNNNNNNNNNNNNNNNNNNNNNNNNNNNNNNNNNNNNNNNNNNNNNNNNNNNNNNNNNNNNNNNNNNNNNNNNNNNNNNNNNNNNNNNNNNNNNNNNNNNNNNNNNNNNNNNNNNNNNNNNNNNNNNNNNNNNNNNNNNNNNNNNNNNNNNNNNNNNNNNNNNNNNNNNNNNNNNNNNNNNNNNNNNNNNNNNNNNNNNNNNNNNNNNNNNNNNNNNNNNNNNNNNNNNNNNNNNNNNNNNNNNNNNNNNNNNNNNNNNNNNNNNNNNNNNNNNNNNNNNNNNNNNNNNNNNNNNNNNNNNNNNNNNNNNNNNNNNNNNNNNNNNNNNNNNNNNNNNNNNNNNNNNNNNNNNNNNNNNNNNNNNNNNNNNNNNNNNNNNNNNNNNNNNNNNNNNNNNNNNNNNNNNNNNNNNNNNNNNNNNNNNNNNNNNNNNNNNNNNNNNNNNNNNNNNNNNNNNNNNNNNNNNNNNNNNNNNNNNNNNNNNNNNNNNNNNNNNNNNNNNNNNNNNNNNNNNNNNNNNNNNNNNNNNNNNNNNNNNNNNNNNNNNNNNNNNNNNNNNNNNNNNNNNNNNNNNNNNNNNNNNNNNNNNNNNNNNNNNNNNNNNNNNNNNNNNNNNNNNNNNNNNNNNNNNNNNNNNNNNNNNNNNNNNNNNNNNNNNNNNNNNNNNNNNNNNNNNNNNNNNNNNNNNNNNNNNNNNNNNNNNNNNNNNNNNNNNNNNNNNNNNNNNNNNNNNNNNNNNNNNNNNNNNNNNNNNNNNNNNNNNNNNNNNNNNNNNNNNNNNNNNNNNNNNNNNNNNNNNNNNNNNNNNNNNNNNNNNNNNNNNNNNNNNNNNNNNNNNNNNNNNNNNNNNNNNNNNNNNNNNNNNNNNNNNNNNNNNNNNNNNNNNNNNNNNNNNNNNNNNNNNNNNNNNNNNNNNNNNNNNNNNNNNNNNNNNNNNNNNNNNNNNNNNNNNNNNNNNNNNNNNNNNNNNNNNNNNNNNNCUAGAAGAUGCACCCUUAUAAGCCCACAGAUUAUCUUUGAAAACAAGAUUUUUCCUUUCAAAAUACCCUUUUGUAAAGGCAUAAGAAGAUGCUUCUUUAGGACAAACACCUAGAAUAGGGACUUUGUUAAACUCAAAAAUCUUUUGAAGAAACUUUCCAUAAGAUAAUUUUCUGCGAGAAUCAGUGGCAUAGCGAAGUAAGAACUUGCACAUGACAAAACCAAAAUCAAUACGAAUUUUUUCUUGAAAACAAUAAAAGAGGUACAACUCCAUUUUGUUUGCAUCAGUUCUGUGGCCAUCAGUGGCACAAGCAGGUUUGAAAUGAUAGAAAAAGCAAUUAAAUUCACAGGGGCCAGAUCAUUCAAUUUAGCAUCAGCAGGUGAGGAAAAACUUCUUUUGAAAUAGGUUAACAUUUUUGUCCCAUCAAAAUGAUUUGCAGCAGUAGGAAGCUCUUCAUAGAAAAGAAAUUAGCAAUCUUAUCUUUGCAUAAACGUUCAAUGGUAGUAUUUAAAAUGGAGUUCACAAUUUCAGAGUCAAAGAUUAAGUCUACCCCAUUAACCCUGGAAAAUAUUUCAGUUGGUCAGAACCUUUCCUAAUUGGCAAAAAAUUGAUGCAGCAUAUCAGGAUAGUAGACAUUUGGCAUAGAAAUAGAUGUGACCAUUUCUGGAAAGCAAAUAGACUCAGAAUGGAUUCUAAACCUAUGGAGCGAAAUUCAGAGGGGUUUACAGUUCUUUGAGGGAUGACACCCUUCUGGGAUAUCCAGGAGUAUUUGUCUUUCGCAGCAUCAUCAAAGAAUGUAGGAGGAGGGACUGAUUUAGGAGGCGGUUGAGAAGAGGUCCCCUGUCCAGAUUCUGGUGAGAAGUGGGUUGUGGAGUAGGCCGUGACAUUUGACCCUUGAUAGCUCCCCUUUUGAAGCGUUUGGAUGUCCGUUUGACAGUAGGAAGAUCCUCAUCCUCAUCCCUGAGUGGAUGCUUGCGUCCGGCAGUAACUUUUCCUCCCCUUAGAUUCACCAUUGUGCGAAAUGUGUGGAAUGAAGAAUGCAAAUGAUGCACACAGCAGUAGGGAAGUGAAUCGAACAAAAUUUUGGAACAAAAGACCUUGUACAAGAUUUGACAGAGCGGUUAUGAAGAAGUAGGGUUUUGAGGAAAUUUGGGAAUGUGCGAAGUGAUAGAUGAUUCUGUGAAAUGAUCAGGAAAAUGACUCGCAAUUGACAGGAACUGUUUUGGUUGAGUCAAUUUGGGAAUGGGCUUCAGAAAUAUGAAUUUGAGAGUGAGAGAAAGAGGGUUUUCGUCCGAGAGGAAAAGAAAGGAAGAGUCUGAAGCAAAUGAGGAAGAAAGUUGUUUUAAAAAUGAGCCGUUGCACUGUCGGACGGCCGAACUAGAAGAUGCACCCUUAUAAGCCCACAGAUUAUCUUUGAAAACAAGAUUUUUCCUUUCAAAAUACCCUUUUGUAAAGGCAUAAGAAGAUGCUUCUUUAGGACAAACACCUAGAAUAGGGACUUUGUUAAACUCAAAAAUCUUUUGAAAAAACUUUCCAUAAGAUAAUUUUCUGCGAGAAUCAGUGGCAUAGCGAAGUAAGAACUUGCACAUGACAAAACCAAAAUCAAUACGAAUUUUUUCUUGAAAACAAUAAAAGAGGUACAACUCCAUUUUGUUUGCAUCAGUUCUAUGGCCAUCAGUAGGCACAAGCAGGUUUGAAAUGAUAGAAAAAGCAAUUAAAUUCACAGGGGCCAGAUCAUUCAAUUUAGCAUCAGCAGGUGAGGAAAAACUUCUUUUGAAAUAGGUUAACAUUUUUGUCCCAUCAAAAUGAUUUGCCACAGUCGGGAGCUCUUCAUAGGAAAAGAAAUUAGCAAUCUUAUCUUUGCAUAAACGUUCAAUGGUAGUAUUUAAAAUGGAGUUCACAAUUUCAGAGUCAAUGAUUAAGUCUACCCCAUUAACCCUGGAAAAUAUUUCAGUUGGGUCAGAACCUUUCCUUAGAUUGGCAAAAAAUUGAUGCAACAUAUCAGGAUAGUAGACAUUUGGCAUAGAAAUAAGAUGUGACCAUUUCUGGAAAGCAAAUAGACUCAGAAUGGAUUCUAAACCUAUGGAGCGAAAUUCAGAGGGGUUUACAGUUCUUUGAGGGAUGACACCCUUCUGGGAUAUCCAGGAGUAUUUGUCUUUCGCAGCAUCAUCAAAGAAUGUAGGAGGAGGGACUGAUUUAGGAGGCGGUUGAGAAGAGGUCCCCUGUCCAGAUUCUGGUUGAGAAGUGAGUUGUGGAGUAGGUCGUGACAUUUGACCCUUGAUAGCUCCCCUUUUGAAGCGUUUGGAUGUCCGUUUGACAGUGGGAAGAUCCUCAUCCACAUCCCUGAGUGGAUGCUUGCGUCCGGCAGUAACUUUUCCUCCCCUUAGAUUCACCAUUGCGCGAAAUGUGUGGAAUGAAGAAUGCAAAUGAUGCACACAGCAGUAGGGAAGUGAAUCGAACAAAAAUUUUGGAACAAAAGACCUUGUACAAGAUUUGACAGAGCGGUUAUGAGAAGGUAGGGUUUUGAGGAAAAUUUGGGAAUGUGCGAAGUGAUAGAUGAUUCUGUGAAAUGAUCAGGAAAAAUGACUCGCAAUUGACCAGGAACUGUUUUGGUUGAGUCAAUUUGGGAAUGGGGGCUUCAGAAUAAUAUGAAUUUGGGAGUGAGAGACAAGAGGGUUUUCGUCCGAGAGAAAAUGAAAUGGGAAGAGUCUGAGGCAAUUGAGGAAGAAAGUUGUUUUAAAAAAUGAGCCGUUGCACUGUCGGACGGCCGAACGAAGUUGUGCGUCCGACAGCUGCGUCCGAACAAGCGCAAUCUGGAAAAUGGCUGAAGAACAUCAUCGGACGUCCGUUCAUCUUCUUUCGGACGUCCGAAGACCCAAAGAAAAUUAAGAUGAUUUUUCGAUUAUUCCUAAUUUUGAUCUUAGAUGAAUGAACUGUUCUAAUGGCAAAGCUUUGGUAAAAAUAUCAGCAAAUUGAUCUUUAGAACAAACAUAAUUUACACAUAUGUCACCUUUUUGAACAAGAUCACGAAUAAAGUGAUGCUUUAUAUCUAUGUGCUUUGUCCUAGAAUGAUGAAUAGGAUUUUUGGUCAAAUUUAUAGCACUAGUAUUAUCACAGAAUACAGGCAUGCAGUCAUACAACAAUCCAAAAUCAUUCAAAGUGUGCUUCAUCCAUAAAAGUUGAGCACAACAUGCACUAGCGGCAAUAUAUUCCGCUUCGGUUGUAGACAAAGAUAUUGCAUUUUGCUUUUUGCUAAACCAAGAGACUAAACAAUUUCCAAGAAAAUGACAAGUUCCACUAGUACUCUUUCUAUCCACACGACAACCUCCAAAAUCAGCAUCCGAAUAACCGUAUAGUGCAAACUCAUUAGAUCUAGCAUACCAAAGACCAUAGUCUAAUGUACCUUUCAAAUACCUAAAAAUUCUUUUUACAGCAUUCAAAUGUGAUUCUUUUGGACAAGAUUGAAAUCUAGCACACAAGCAAACAGCAAACAUAAUAUCAGGUCUACUUGCGGUUAAAUAGAGUAGGCUUCCGAUCAUACCUCUAUAUUGCUUUUCAUCCACAUGAUUACCUUCUUCAUCUUUGUCAAGCUUUGUAGAAGUGCACAUUGGAGUUCCAACUUGCUUUGAGUCCUCCAUGCCAAACCUUUUCAGCAACUCCUUGGUAUAUUUUGCUUGAUUUAUAAAAAUUCCCUCAAGAGCUUGAUGUAUUUGAAGUCCAAGGAAGAAAUUUAAUUCUCCCAUCAUACUCAUUUCAAAUUCACUUUGCAUAGUGGUGGAAAAAUCCUUGCAUAGAUACUCAUUAGUAGCACCAAAAAUAAUAUCAUCAACAUAUAUUUGCACAAUAAGAAGGUCAUUCAACACUUGCUUAGUAAAAAGUGUGGUGUCCACAACACCCCUUUUGAAACCAUUUUCAAUCAAAAAACCACUUAGUCUUUCAUACCAAGCUCUUGGAGCUUGUUUUAGACCAUAUAAAGCUUUAGAUAGUUUAAACACAUGACUUGGAAAUUUUGUAUUUUCAAAACCGGGGGGUUGAUCCACAUAUACUUCUUGAUCAAUAAAACCAUUUAAAAAGGCACUUUUAACAUCCAUUUGAAACAAUUUGAAGCCUUUAAAGCAUGCAAAAGCAAGAAGCAUUCUAAUAGAUUCUAAUCUUGCUACGGGAGCAAAUGUUUCAUCAAAAUCAAUUCCUUCUUCUUGUGCAUAUCCUUUAGCAACUAAUCUGGCUUUAUUUCUUACAACAACACCUUUAUCAUCUAACUUAUUUCUAAAAAUCCACUUUGUGCCAAUGAUAGGUUGAUUUUGAGGUCUAUCAACAAGUGUCCAAACUUCAUUCCUCUCAAAUUGAUUAAGUUCCUCUUGCAUUGCCAAAAUCCAGUUUUCAUCCUUUAAAGCAUCAUUGACAUUUUUGGGUUCAAAAAGAGACACUAAAGCAAAAUUGUCAAUCAAUUUUCUAGAUGAGGAACGAGUGUUUACCUUCUCGGAUGGAUCACCAAUUAUAAGCUCUUUUGGAUGAUUUUGGCUGAAUUUCCAAGCCUUGGGAAGAUCUUUGAGUGAAUCAUCAUUUUUGUCUUCAUCUUCCUCUUCUUGAUCAUUAUGAACUUCAUUUUCCAUUUCAGUUGCUGCUGGUUUAGAACUUCCUUCAUUUCCAAUUGACAGCUUUUCCAUUCCUGCUCGAACACCUACAUCAUCAUCCUCACACGGACUUUUGGAAUUAUCAUCAUUGGUUUCAUCAAAUGUUAUAUGUAUAGCUUCUUCAAUCACAAGAGUCCUUCUAUUAAAAACUCUAUAUCCUCUUUUAUUCUCACAAUACCCCAAAAAUAUUCCUUCAUCAGAUUUUUUAUCAAACUUACCAAGAUGUUCCUUUAGAUUCAAAAUAAAACAUUUACAACCAAAUACUUUGAAAUAACCAACUGUAGGUUUCUUAUCAAAAAUCAGCUCAUAAGGAGUUUUCUUUAAGAUAGGUCUCAAGAGAAUUCUAUUCAUCACAUAACAUGCAGUGUUUACCGCUUCAGCCCAAAGAUAUUUAGGCAACCUACAUUCAUUUAACAUAGUUCUAGCAGCCUCUUGGAGAGUCCUGUUUUUCCUUUCUACAACACCAUUUUGCUGUGGAGUUCUUGCAAUAGAAAACUCAUGAGUUAUGCCAUUAUGAUCACAAAAUUCUGGAAAACCACAAUACUUGAAUUCUGUUCCAUUAUCACUUCUAAUUCUAACAAUUUUUAAUCCAAGCAGAUUUUGCACUUUAGCAAACAAUGAAGUGAAAUUCUUGAAUGCAUCAUCCUUAUGAGCAAGAAAUAUUACCCAAGUGUAUCUAGAAUAAUCAUCUACAAUCACAAAACAGUAUUUCUUACCACCCAAGCUAGAGAUUUGAGUAGGGCCAAAUAAGUCAAGAUGCAAGAGUUCUAAAGGUUUGGAAGUAGAUACACACUUCUUUGGUUUAAAAGAAACUUUUGUUUGCUUUCCAAAUUGACAUGCAUCACAUAUUUUAUCCUUUUCAAAACUGAUUUUUGGCAAGCCUCUAACUAGCUCCUUUUUCGAAAUUUCCUUUAGUAACUCCAUGUUAAAAUGACAAAGUCUUCUAUGCCACAACCAAGGAUCUUCAUUUGAAGCUUUAAGACAUGUUAAGCUAGAAGAAUCAAUUUUAUCAAGAACCACAAUAUAAAUGUCGUUGAACCUCUUACCUUUGAACACAACAUUGUAUUUGGAAUCAAGCACAAUGCAUUCAUGCUUUCUAAACAACACAUUCAAGUCUUUAUCACACAAUUGACUAACACUAAGCAAAUUAUAACCCAAGUUAUCAACUAAGAGCACAUUAUGAACAAAAGUUUCACCAUCCUUACCAACAUCACCUAUUCCAAUUGUUUUAGCUUUCACAUCAUCACCAAAUGUCACUUUUCCACUUGAUCUUGAUUUCAGCUUUAUGAACAAAGAGGGAUCACCGGUCAUAUGCCUUGAACAACCGCUAUCAAUGAACCAUUUGGACUUGUGUGAGCAUUUUUCCUGAAAAGAGAAAGUGUUUGGUACCCAUUUUAAUUUUUGGGUCCAUAAUAGUUAGCAUUAUAUCUAACUAACCACAUGCAUUUCAUCCCUUUGUUCAGAUUUCUUUUCACAUAGCAAUCACUUUUCAAAUGCCCUCUUUGACAACAAAAACCACACAUAAUGGAAGAGUCCUUAACAUGUACUGGUUUGACAUAUCUUAAUCCACCUUUUCUAUAUGUUGUGAAACCAUGUGCAUUUUUGUUGUGUGCAAAUGUUCUUUGAAAAAUAGUAGGAUGUGUAGGUGACAUGUUCCUUUUGAUAAACUCCUGCUUUCUUGCUUUCAAAGUCUCAUCCAAGUUGUCCAUUCUCCUUUUUAAAUCACCAUGUCUUUCCUUCAACAUUUUACAAAUAUUUGUCUUUCUAUCAAGCUCAUUCUGAACAUCAAAUCCGGCUCUUACAAGACAUUCAUUGUCAGUUUUUAGUUGUUUAUUUUGUUGAAGGAGACAUGCAUUUUCAUGAAUGAGAAAAGCAAUUUUCUGUUUUAGCUGCUUGUUCUUAUCAUAAGAUUCCUUCAAAGCAUUAUGCAGUUUUUCAACAAAUGAUUCAAGAUCAUCAUCUUCUUCAUCAUCACUUUCAGAUUGAGAGUGUAUGGAAGUUACCUCAUUAUCUCCAAUAGCCAUGAAGGCCAUUUGAGCUGAUUCUUCCUCUUCUUCAACUUCCCCUUCAGAGUUGCAUUCAUUCCAAGUAAUCUGGAAGUUGUUGAAUCUUGGCUUUCGAUCAGCUUUUCCAUCUUUCAUUUUCUUCAUGGGGUAUUCGUUUGCAUAGUGUCCAGGCUGUCCACAUUCAUAGCAUUUGUCCACUUGCUUCUUGUUGAAUUCUUGUUUUCCUUUGUUCCUUGCAUUUGAUGAAUAAUUUUGGAAUUGAUUGCUAGGUCCUCCCUUUCUGAACUUCCUUUUAUUCAAGAUUCUUUUGAAGCCUCUUGUGAUGAGAGCAAGAUCAUUAUCAUCACCAUCCGAAUCUUCAUCAUCCAAGUGAGCUGGAUCAUCUUCACUUUGAGUAGUCUUUAGAGCAAUAUUUCUUUUUGCUCUAGCAUCCUCUUCCUCCUGCACUUUAGAUUUCAGUUUUAACUCAUAAGAGGUUAGUGAGUUAAUGAUAGAUUCAAUAGGCACAGAACUUAAAUCCUUAGCCUCCUCUAUUGCAGUCACUUUAUUUUCCCAUUCUUUGCCCAAUGCAUUGAGAAUUUUUCUGUUCUUUUCUCCCAAGGUGUACUCUUUGCCCAACACCUCGAGAUCUUUGAUCAAGUCAGUGAACCUGCAAAACAUUUUGUCAAUAUCCUCAAGAGGUUCAAUCUUAAAAGAUUCAUACUUUGUGACCAAGAUGGCCUUUCUCUGUUCUCUCACAUUGUCACCACCCUCAUGGAUUUCUCUUAACUUAUCCCACAUUUCUUUGGCUGAUUUACAGCCUUUCACUCUAAUUGAUUCAUUUGAAUCUAAGGCACUAUAAAGAACAUUCAUGGCCUUGGCAUUCAAUGUGAGGUUAGUCCUGUCUUGAGCAUUCAUUUCAGCUCUCAUUUUUGGCCGAAGCAGCCCUGUAUCUGCAUCAAGAAAGUUAGCUUCAUGCGGUCCUUCACUCACAAUAAACCACAGUUCAAUAUCAAUAGAUUGCAAAAAAAUAAUCAUCCGUUCUUUCCAGCUAACAUAGUUGGAGCCACUGAACAUGGGAGGCCUAGUAACAGAUUGCCCCUCAACAAACAUAGCAUGACUGGUUGUCAUCUUUACUCCAAGCCGUUAGAGCUUAAUCUCAAGGAGACCAAGCUCUGAUACCAAUUGUAAGUCCCAAAGACAACCAAGAGGGGGGUGAAUUGGGUUAUUCAAAAUCUUAAUCAGAUUUAGGCAAUUUUUGCUAAAUUAAAAUUUCCUUCUUUUCUAGUAAUGAUCAACCAAGUGGAUUAGAAGGCAAGAGCAAUAUUGAUCAGAAACACAAGUAUAAACAAGCAAUGAGAAUUUUAUUAAACAGAAAAGUAAAUUGGGGAAUCAAACCAAGUGUCUACCAAGCUAUCCUCAAACUUGAAGACCACACACUAGGAAGAGCAACUUCUCUUUGAUGGAAGACGAUCAACUAGAUGUACAAUGGAGGGAGCACUUCCUCCUUGCCCUAAGCCUCACUUAGUCAAACUAAGAAGUUUUACAAUCACUCUGAAAACCCUCAACAAAGCUACACUAAAGAUCCUUUCAAUCACAAAAGAAAUGCUCACCAGAAAUUCACACCACUUUAAAACAAAUCUAGCUUUGGAGACUAUUUUCUAGCUAAAAUAUCUCUUGAGAUCUUGUAAACAAAGUGUGCAAAAGUCAGUACUUCGUUCAGACCAGUUUGAUUUUAAAGGGAACCAGAAAUGGGCUUCAUCAAUGCUUCCAACGGAUAGAAGGCAGCUGAAGAGUCAACUAGCCGUUGGGGCUGUCGGACGUCCGACGAUCAAAUCAUCGUCCGAACCAAUCGUCCGAUGGCAUCCAAGUUGACGUUCGGACGUCCGAUGCGUCUUGAUCGUCCGACACCGCAGCGUCCGAUCGUAGGCAGAGAGUUGGCAAGUCAGCUUGGAAUUUUUCGGACGUCCGAUGCGGUUGAUGAGCGUCCGAUGGCAAGCGUCCGAUCCUUCCGGACGUCCGAUGCUUCCUCACGAGCGUCCGACAGAGCUUCCUUCUUGAUGCUCUUUAUCCUUUCGGACGUCCGACAGAUUCCUUUCGGGCGUCCGACGUGAGUAUCCUGUUUUUGCUUCUUCUUUUGGUUGAAAUGCAUUUCAUGACCUAUUCAUACCUGAUUCUUUGAUAUGUAAAGACACUUAUAAUCGAAGAAGGUUAGAUACAUUUCAAAAUACCAAGAAUAGCAAAAUUGUCAUACUUAAAGGACAGUAUCUUUGAUUGGAACAAAACAAUGACUAAAUUCAUUCAUUUUAUUCCAAUCUUGUUUGCCACAUCCAAAGCAACGUAGUCAGGAGAUAAACGAACAUAUGCUUUCUUUGUUCCAUCAGACCUGAUCAAAGUGUUCACUUUCUUGGUUAGUAUAAACAUUUCAAAUUACUUUGUGAUCAUAAAAACCAAGAAUAACAGACCUACUAACGCGGUAUGUGCGAUAAAUUUUUGAAGAUUAGGAGGAGUUUUGUGCAAAGAGAUAUUAUUUUAUAAGGUGUUAUGGGAUAAUUAGAGGUCGAUUAGAUAUUUUAAUGAUUGGAAGACAAUAGGAUUGUGACGGCCCCACCUCCCCCUAGGGCGUACCCCAGGGUUUAGUGGACCGCCUGCCCAACUCUAGCCAGGACUCACUCACUCAUAACUCAAGGAAAAAAAACUAAUAACGUACAUCCAUAGAAAAUAAAUAACACAUCCACUUUAAUUUAAUAUAUACAUUGAUGUUUAAAUCCAGGUACAAAGCUUCUACAUACCAAAGUACUUCAAAAUAUUUACAAUUCAAGUACAAUCAACCCUAGUCGGGUACCAGUAUGAGUACAAAUUCAAAAUUCAAAACAACUAGACUAUACUAGCCUGUACAUGUUUCAUGCCUCGCUCGUACCCCCCUGUAAGGAAAACAAAUGGCGUGGAAUGAGCUAAAAGCCCAGUGAGGUUUCAAAUAACAAAUUGACCAUUUUUUAAAAGUACGAAUAUCAAUGUAGCAAAUUAAUGAGCAUCAAAAGUUCAAAAAAGUGAACAAUAAUACUUCAAGUAGCAAAUCUCAAAGUGAGCAAGUAUAAAAGUUUUCAAAAGAAAUAAUAAUCCAAUAAACAAUAAUCAUUCCAAAGUAUAAGGAUACGGAUGGCUCUCAGGAGCCAAAUUCCCAUUGCAUCACCAGAAUUUGAUCAAGUAAUAGUUGACACUCCAUCAACCUUUAAGUAAGUAACCAAUCCAGUAGAGCACCACUUAAACUACUCUCCGUCCACCAUCCACACCCCCUACUGGGCUCAAAAUCCUCAAUAAACACUGGUGGUAAUACUCGAGUAUACCGAUUAGUCGAGAAGAUAACACUCCAUUCGACAUCACUAACUACCCAUGAUUCGUUAUCUAAUCGACCAAGCCCUUGCCGGCUUGACUCGAUUAACUAGCCAGUGGGGUUUGGGUCCCCAAGAAGUCGAUGAGAUAACAUCUUCAAUCGACGGAACUAAAAUAAAAGUAUAGAGAUAGGAAUGAGAGGCACCUCCCACUCAAAUUGAGUAUGGUACAUACUGCCGCUCCAUACUUACAAAUCAAGUACAAGUAUAUCAAGUUAAUUGCAACAAUAAACAAGUAUAUAUCAUGUUAGGGCAAGUGCGAUAAAGUACACUCUUGUCCGAUCAACAAAUCUCAUAUCAUUUAUUUAUAUUGAUCAAGUAUUGUGAACAAGUGUCCAAUUCAACAAGGUAUUUGGAAGCACUCACCAAAAGAUGCGGUGCCUUUACGAGUUACGUUCGGAUAUUAUUCCGUGGGUGGAGUCCAAAUCUACGAUAAAACAUUGUUUAAGAGCUUUUGAAAGUAACUAAGGUUCGAAACUUAAACAUUUCGUUUAACGAGAAUCACAUAAUUGAAACUUAUUUGUAGAAUAUUUAUAAACUCAUGCUUGGUCUUAAAACUUGGAAAAUUUGAACCAAGUAUACUUUGAAAUACCAUUUGAGUCGAAGAAAUGGAGAAAAUGUAUUUCUAGUAGUCGUUACUUUCAUGUUAUCCAAGGGUACAAGUUUUCGACAAAAUUUUAAGUUAUAUACCCUGACUAAAAAAAAUGUAAACACCAUAGGUGAUCUAUGCCCAACUUAACCUCAAAUCGUCACUCAGGUCGCAGGUAUAUCCACCUAGCCCUCGAGUGUAGAUUUGAGCAGCACGUCCUUUGUAUUUACCUAUUUUCCAACCAUUUAUGGCUUCAUUCUUUUCUUCAAUCAAUCCCCAAAGUUACACACAAAAUCAUCUCAUUUCAAUAGCCAUUCCAUAGGCUCAAAGUCAUAUAAGUACCAAAUCAAACUAGGAACAUGUGCGGAAAUGAAGUUUGCGUCAAAAAACAAAAGACAGAUUUGACGUUGUUUUACGUAACAGACACAACCGAGGCUACGCUUAUCGGAUUGAGGUGAAACUUAUACCAUUUCGAAGCUAAAACAAAAGGUUACAACUUUGAUGAAGACCACUUAGUCCAGUUCGUAGUGUAUCUAGCUCAAAAUCUCAAAUGACAGAACCAGAAUCUCACAUUCAGGCUUGGUAACCGCCUUAUGCGUAAACGACAAUAACUCCGGCUACCGAAGUCCAAUUAGGGCAUUUUUAGGGGUGUUAGAAAGCUAAGACAUAGCACUACAAAUUCUGUGUUUUGGCCAGAUACUAAUUCAGUAAGGAUCAGAGUGAACAGAUGCGGUCAGAUUGGUGAAAUGUCAAAACUGUCCAUUGGACUGAACCUAUGGUAGUCAGGGAUAUUUUUAUCUUUUCACAUGUUCCAAUGCUCUGAUUGAGCUGAAAUUUUACAGACAGCUAUAAACUAUAAUUCUCUACAACUUUCAUGUUUUGUAUUAAGGCUAAUUCGGCCUCUAACAUGAUCAAACAGUGCCGGUCAGAACAGGGAAAGUAGAAAACUGAAAUCUGGAAUUCAUGAAUACAAGUAAUAAUCUUCACAAUUCUAGCUUGGAAACACUACUUCACUUCCUUAUCUAUACUUAUUCACAUCAUAAUCCAUCUAAACAAGAAGAAAUAUGGCUGAACAAUACAAAAUCCUAACUUACUAAUUCUCCCAAAAUCAUCACAACUACUUGCAUAGCUACCAAUUUAACCCAAAACAUGAGUUGUAUAGCAACUUAAGCAAGAGUAAAGGAACCAAAGAUGAUGGACAGCCAAUAUACCUCUCAAAGAUGCUUGUAAGAGUUAUCCACCACCUUUCCUUGUAAACCUUUUGCACACCAAGCUUUCCAAGUGCUCAAAGAAAGAUUUAACCGGUUUAGAAUCUUGUUUUCUCACUCAAAUGGAUCAAGCUCAAGAUGAAAUGGAGUUCUUUCUCUUGCUCUCUCUCUCCCUCAAGCUCAUGGUUUUCAGCUAGAAAAAUGGAGAAGAUUGGAGGUUAAGAAAGGUUAUAAGACUUGGUCUUGGUUUGGGUCAAAGGUGCUUGGAUAGCCUCCACUUGUCACCACCAAAUUCCAUCUCAAUUUUUUUUUCUUUUUCCUUGUGUUUUUUCGUCAAUAAUUUCGGCCAACCUAAGCUGAGGAUGAGGGGGAUAUUUUGCACUAUUAUCAAGGAUAUUUUAUGGUAAGGAAGUGGUAGUCAAGUGGUGUACUCAUUCGAUAACAAACGGUACCCAUCGGUUCAACCCGAUUUUUCUUAAAUCGCGUAUACUAGGGUUUUAUCUUAUAAUUCACUAACUUAUUAUUAUCACUUCUAAUUACACACUUAAUAUCAUCUAAAACUCACUCUUAAUCACUAAAUUUGAUCCCCAUUCUGUACCGGAUAAUCACACUACGGAUAGGCGUAAAAACCCUAAUUCGCGCUAACUUAAAAACCAAAGGGAAAAUCCUUAAUUCUAUAUUCAUUUACACUUAUUGUGGGGUGAUUGGGUAGUAUGGCUAUUAGAAAGUAAUAAUUUCCAAAUAAAAUGGAAGUUUUAAGAAAAAUAUAAGGAAUUUGCAAGUCCUCACAAGGAUGAGGAUUAACCAUGGCAAACCAUUUGCCACAAAAGCCUUGGACCAUUGACUUUGGCUAAGACCUUUCUUAACCUUUUAUUAACCAAAAAUUGACCAAAAAUCCUAUCAUCUUCUCCCCUCUCUUGGCUGACCUUCAUGAGCAAGAAAAGAAAGAAAGAAAACUCCAUUUCCAACACAAAAAACCUUGCUUGAUUCUUGAGUUUUCACCUUAAUCUUGCAAAUCAAUCCAUAAAAGCUGAAUUUGAGGUAGGAGGGCGGCGAACUUUGGUGGAGAGUUUUUGGAGGAAGAAGUUUGUGGCUGCUCGGUCGUCUUUGGGUUUCUAAGUAACAAAGUCUAGAAACCAUCUCUUGUUAUUUAACUUGCUUUUGAGUGGAUUUAAGGGUUAAAUUAUGGUGGUAUUCAUGGAAAAUUUCAUGGUUCAUGUGGUGGAUCAAAAUUUUCAGAUUUGAUGGAGAAUUUCCAGCUUUGAUGAGUUCAUUUCAGUUGUGUUAUGAUUUAUUAGCAUUAGCAUAUGAUUUUUCAACUUUCCAAUGCUUGUUUGGCUUUAUAAUAGAAAUUUUCAACUUGUGAUUAUGAAUUUCAGCAUAGGAUUUAAUUUUUCUAACUUGAGUAGGUGAUGGUUAUAUGCUAGGUAUAUGCUUGAUUUAGUGAGUUGUUGGUCUAGUAUGUAUAUGCUUGAUUUGAGACUGUUUUAUGGUGAGAAUGAAGCCUUGAAAAUGGCUGGAAAUUAGGAAAAAUAAGGGAAAGUGCUGCCAAAAAUUUUUUCGUAGGAGACUCUAAGUAGUCUUGGAAAAUCUAUCAUAUCUUGGUGUAGAAAAAUUCAAAUUGAGUUCUGCUUAUUGAGUUUGAAACUAGAUUCAGAGUACUUUCUAUCGUGAAAAUUUCAAAGUUUUCCUCAAUUCCUGUGAAUAUCUGUGAUUUUUCAAAAUUGACUGAAUUUUCAUUCCUGUUUUGACUUUCUACCAGCCGCUUGAGAUUGGAAUUUGACUGACUUGUGGAUAGAAUCUUUCAAAAGUAUCUUCUGAGAAACCCUUUGAAUCUAUUUUCCAGCAGUAUAAAUUUUAUAAAUUUUGGACUUAAGAAACUUGAGAUAUGAUUUUUCAAAUAGCGUUGCGCGAAACUGGAAAAAUUCUAUUUUCCUAAAACUAUCCUUACUUUCAUUCCCAACUUUAAGUUGGAGUUGUUAAACCAUUUUGAGUUUAGUUUUAUGAUUGGAAUGAGGAAAUUCUUGAUUACUCAUGUCCCUUUGGUCUAAAUGUUCUCUUUACACUCCAAAACCAUAUUUGCAUCAUUGCACUAGUAGUUACUUGAAUUUUCUUUGGUUCACCUAAGUUUUGAAUGGUUGAACUAUAAUACUUUAUCUUGAUUGUUCUUAAGAUUUGUAGGUGAUCAAGGGCAUAAUCCGAGGGGCAAAUUUUUGACGUUAUUUUGCUUAAACUGGUGAGUGUCAAGUGUAUGUUUCUUAAUAUAUCUCGAUUUGACUGAUACCACGUGUUAUGUAUUGAAUUCUGAAUUUGACGAGGCGAGAGUGUACUUUAUCGCACUUGUCCUCCCCUUCUUGAAUGAUCUUGUACUUGCUUGAAUUUGAUUGACAUGUACUUGUGGUUGUGCUUGUGCUCGACUUGUAAGUGUUGAGCGGCAGCAUGUACCACACUCAAUCUGAGUGAGAGGUGCCUCUCAUCCCGUCUCAGUACUUUUAUCCUGAUUAAGUCGAUUGGAAAGUUAUCUCAUCGACCCUAGUGCUGAGCGGCAGCAUAUACCACACUCAGUCUGAGUAGAAGGUGCCACUCAUCCUAUCUCAGUACUUUUAUCCUGAUUAAGUCGAUUGGAGAGUUAUCUCGUUGACCCUUGUAUUGAGCGGCAGCAUGUACCACACUUAAUCUGAGUGAGAGGUGCCUCUCAUCCCGUCUCAGUACCUCUAUCUUGAUUAACUCGAUUGAAGUGUUAUCUCAUCAACCAUACUUGUUCUUAUUUGCAUAUAUAAUCGAGUAUUACCACCACUAUUUCUAUUUGGCAUUCGGGCCCGGUUGGGGAUGAAACGGUGGAUGGGGAUUCGUGUCAAGUGAAUCUACGAACUUGUUAUUCGCGUGGUUGACAGAGUGUCAACAAAAGAAAUGACAUCCAAGAUUGUAAAAUGGCAAGCUUGUGGAUUAGCUCCUGAGAGCUCCUGUAUCCUAUUAAUGAAUAUGUUUUAGUCCUUUUAUGACUUUACAUGAAACCAUUGUUGCUAUUUUGUAUAUAAGUUAGUUGAGUUGAAUUAUGGUACUUGUUCUACUUGCUUGCUUGAUAUCUUGGCCUCACUGAGCGUCCGCUCAUCCCUUUAAAUUGUUAUUCCUUAACAAGAAUUUGAAGUAAAGAAUUGGAGGUGUUAGACUAGCUAACUCUUGUCUAGAGUUAAUGUGAUUCUCUGAGCGACUUUUGGACAUUUGGAAAUGUAUAUUUCAUUUGUAUUUGAAAUAUUAUGGUUGUAAUAGUUAACGUUAUUGCCUAAGAAUUGUGGCUGUUGUUAUUCAAGUACUUUCUUGGCUUUAAGAAAUUGUUUGACUUGAAAAUCGUAGUUUGGUUCGAGUGAAUGCAUGAGUUCUGGCGAAAGUUGGGCAGACAGUCCAUUAAACCCUUGGGUUCGCCCUAAGGGGAGGUGGGGCUGUCACAGUUUCAACUUGUAUUGAUUAAAUAGCUCUGGUUCAGUCUAAUUGGUAGCUAGAAUUGAUUGUGACUAUGUUGCUUGUGGAAAUGCUUUAGUCUAAUUUGUCAAUUAUUAUUUUUGAAUAUAUGUGCUUGUCAUUGGUAUGUUCACAUGCAUAUGUGUGUGUAUGUUCAUAAUGAGUAUUGGAUUAAUACAUAUCUACAUAGACUAGUUGAGGAAAAAAAAAUGGAAGCUGGAAGACAACGACGGGGACGUCCACGUGAACAAACCCAAAAUCAAAGAGAAGAGAAUGGGUCUGUGGCUAACCAAAACACUGAACCAAGGGUUGAGGCAAAUGAUCAAGUGGCAUUGGCUAUAAAUCAUAUGACACACUUGUUAGAACAUUUAGUACUCCCACAGGGCCAAGGGGCUAGACAAGUGAAUCAACAAAGAGACCAAGAUAUCAGAGAGGAUAAAGCAUUGGAGAGAUUUCAAAAGUUUUCUCCCCCUAAGUUUUUUGGGAGUCCUGAUCCCGAAAUAGCUGAAAAUUGAUUAGAAAACAUGAUAAAUAUCUUUGCUGCUCUAAGAUAUACAGACGAAAGGCAAGUGGCAUUCGCCGUAUUUCAGUUUGAGGGAGCAGCACGAUUAUGGUGGAAUGUCGUAAGGACUAAGUGGGAGAGGAAACAAGUACCCUGGACCUAGCUAAAUUUUAUCCAAAAAUUUAAUGACAAAUAUAUUCCCCCUCUUGUUCAAGAAAAAAGAGAAGACGAGUUUAUAAGGCUUCAUCAGGUAUCAAGGAGUGUUGUUAGUAUAAGGCUCAGUUUACAAAAUUAUCCAAAUUUUUUCCAGAGUUGGUUGCUACUGAGCAAAAGAGAAAAAGGAGGUUCAUUCAGGGCUUAAGUCUGGAAAUUCAAGAAUCUUUGUCAGCAGCUCAAGUUCCUACAUUCAGUGAUGCCCUUGAAAAAGGUCAAAGGGUUGAAAGUAUGAAAUCUCAAUUGCGAGCUUUUCAAACACGGAAAAGGGAUGCAUCUGCCAAAGUUGGGAGAAGAUGAACCACCUUCCAAAGUUGGGAGAAGAGCUGGAAAAGUACAACUUUCACUUCCAUCUCCACCCAUGGCGGGGAAACCAGCAGCAACUAUAAUAAAAGGAACUCAAAUUGAAAGGGAACCAUCAAGGGAAAUUCCGUAGGAGAACCAAGGACUGACAUCUCACUUGACUUGUGGAUAUUGUGGGAAGUCUAAUCACACUGAGAAAAAUUGAUGGAAAAAGUGGCGAAAGUGUUUGAUUUGUGGAAGCACAGAUCAUCAAUUUGCAAACUGCCCGAAAAAUCAACGAAGAGAGAGUGCUCCUCAACAAAUGGAUAAAAAUGUCUCUAAACAAGCAAAGGAAGGAGAGAAUCGACCUUGAGCACUAGCUAGAACCUAUGCUAUUUAUGGACAACCGUCUUCCGAGUUGACAAGGGUGAUAAAGGUGAGAAUUUCGAGAACGAAAUUCUUUUAAAGGGGAGAGAGUGUGAGAACCUUGAAUUUUAAGUUUUAUAUUUCCAUUUUUAAUCCAUUUAUAUGUAUUUAAAUUAUUUUAAGCAUUCGAGAUAUGAUUCAUUUUUUGGGCCUUAUUUUCUUUAUUUUAUUUAACUUUGGUAAAAAUGAGUUUAAGAAAAUGAGAGAAUUAAUCUUUCUUAUGUCUAAUAAAUCCUAGGAAAUUUAAUUGUUUUGGUGUGAAGUUAGAACUUAAGUAAACUAUCAUGAUUGGAAGGAAAUUGGAAAAAACUUGCUAGGUAGAAAUUUGGCCAAGUGUCAUCACUCUACAACUCCUUGACUUGAACAAUUAGUUUCUUAAGUAAACUUUACCAUUUAACAAAACAUUAGCCCUUUGUCUUGAGCUCCUGGCUGAACCUCUUGAGAGGAAAAACUUCACAAAAAAUCCUAAGUUUAGUUCUUGGAAAAUUAGAGCAAGAUUCAAGAGGAAGUUCAACUAGAUUCCACCCAACCUUGGCUUGCUACUUGAGAGGUGAUUCUUAGAGUUUUUGGUGCAACUUGCAAAGCUUGAGGAGCUUGAGGUAAACCUUAAAUCAUGAAUUUUAAUGCUUUAAAUUAGUGGGGUAUGCAUGUAAUUAAGGUGUUUAGAUAACCUAGAUACUUGAGUUGUUGAUGGCUUGGCUUGGGUUCUUGUUUUGAAGCUUGGAUCAUGGAUUUAUGUUUAUGCCUUCUAUGUGUUUGAUGUAUGGUUAGGUGUAUUAGGUGAGGAUUGCUUUAGGUUUUCUUCGUUGUGUUAGCAUGAGAAUUAUGGUUAAAGUAAGCUUAAUUAACUUGGUACACAUGAAGUAAAAAUUAAACAAUCACAAGUUGGAAUUUAUGCUUGGGCUGGCCGAAUUUUUAGCUUCAAUUUUGUGAGGAUUUUUUGUGUUGUUUUGGUGAGAUUUGUGCUCAAGGAACUUGGUAUAACCUUACGCUAGAAGUGGAUGUUAUGUAUGUGUGUUUGAAUAGUAGUUUUGUUGGAGUAAAAUUAAGAAAACUAGGUGGAAAUUUUCUGCUUUGGGGUUGCUUGCUAGCCAUCUGUUAUGUUGUUGCAAUUUCCAGUUUUUCUAGCUUACUUUACGAUGUAUCUUGGUGAGUUUUUGCUUGGAAAACUUGGUACUUCAUUAGUCUUGACAUAUGUGUUAAGUUUGACCAAUUUGAAGAAAGUUUAAUUGGUGAAACUAGAAGCCAAAGUGGACUGAAAUUCUAUUUCCAAAUGUAUGCAUGCUGACCAGUUUUCUUGAGUUUAUUUCUCUUCAUUUUUUGGUUUGUUUUCAUGAAAGUUUGUCUCAAUCUUGUGCUAUAAACUUAGUAGAACUCUUGUGGACUGAUUUGUAGCGAAAACCAUGCAUUUAACUUGAAGAGAAUUUGAGUUUUGAUUGGCUUUUGAGUUGAAUUUCCUGAUUUUUGGGUGUGGAACAGGGCUGCUGUUUUGGCCUUGUUUUGCCUUCGAUUUGUGAUAGUUUGGACUUGAAAUUGCUCGUACUAUUUGCCAAUACAUAAUAUUAGAGUUGUGAGUUGAUUUGGUCGUAAACCGAUUACUCAAAGGAGUGAAAAUUAGCUAUCUUUCACUGCCAUAAAACUGGAAAAUUUUCAGUAUUUGUACCCUUUUCAUGUAUUUAUUGUUGCUCUUGGUUUUUGAUCCGAGAAACAUUCUUUUCGCACCAAACCUUGCUUGAAAUAAACCUAAGGUGUAUUGGUGAUUUCCUUGAACUUGCACCUUCGCGUAGGUUUUGAAACUUAUAUCCUUUUGAAAUCUCUUUUGAGUCAUUUGUCGCUUCGAAGUUGAGUCGCUCUAGUAGCUCUCUCGAUCAUUCCUUCCUUUAUUUGGUUGCUCUAGUCGGAAUUUUAAAGUUUCGUACUUGCUUGAAUAUAGGUUUUGAUGUGGAAAACGAGAACCUUGGUGGGACUAUUUGAUUUGCUCUGCUUUGUCGGUGAGUGUUCCAAUGCAUGUUAUUUGAUUAUGUAUGAUUUGAGAAAAUGCUAUAAUUUGCUUAAAGUACUCUCCUUUGAAUGACAUGAUAAUAAGUGAAUGACUGUUGUGAUUUUCUUGUCUUGUUAAUUUUCUAUGAGUGCAUGUUCACAUUGCAUGAAUGCAUGAUAAAUGUGCAAGAAUGUAGGCCAAUGUGUACUUUAUCGCAUCGGCUGAACUGAGCUUAACCCUAUGUUGGCACCCUAUCCGAGACCGCCAUUUGUGAGGUAGGAUCAGCUGGACAACUUUGGAUUUAUAACUUACCAAUGUUAAGUGCAAAGUUCAAAACUCUUUUCCGAAAGGUUUUGAGUACAAUGCUUAAUAUUUAAUAUUAAAUGAGAGAAUUGUUGAUUUUCGGAUGGCAUAAGGUGAAUGUUAAAUAAGGGGAUUGUUGAUCUUUUGGAGGACAUAAGGUGGGAGUUCGGAGGUUAUAAGGUGGUAAAAUGUAGGGGAUUGUUUAUUGGCAAUUAUAAGGUGAAUGUUGCUCCAUGUGAGCCCUGUAUCCUUUUCAUGUUUAAAUUAUUGUAUUGUUCAUCCUUGUAUUUACUUGAACGAAUGAUUGAAUACAUGCAUGAAUAUUAUUGUUCAUCAAGUAUUUUACAUUGAAAGAUUCCUAUUACAAUUAAUUGCUCCACUACCAGUUUCUAAAGUUGAAUAUCGAUUUACUUGAACCUAUAUUACUUGAAAAACGUGCUUACAUGUUAAAUUGUAUUAUUCUCUUAUUUUGCCUAUUUAUUUGGAAUGCUGACUGGGCGUAAGCUCAUCCCACAUUUUGUUUUCCUUAACAGGAUUCGGAUCCGAGAGUGGUCAAGAAUACUACUUUUGAAUGUAUGUAAAUGUUAUUUUGGGGUGCAAUGAAUAUUAUUUUGGUUAGUUUAAAAAUUUCAAAUAAUUCUCGCUAUGAAUUGUAGUGAGUCCUGGAGAGAGUUGGGUAGGCGGUCCGCUGGCCCCUUUGUUUCGCCUUUGGGGAAAGUGGGGCUGUCACAAUUUCUUAAAUACUUCUUCCUACCUGCUGUCAGAGGAUAGAAAAUAGAGCAAUUUGAGAACCUAUAGGCGGACUUGGAGCCAUUUCUAGAAAAAUAGUUUUAAAUGACACUUGUAUUAUAACAUAUUUUCCCAAAUGUCAUAAUAGGGUGUUAACAUGAUAGUUAGUAAGAAGUGUCAUUAAAAAGGUGCCGAAAGUAGAGAAAACUACGUCGUAUCGCCUCAAUUCUAAAAAUUAGCUCUACAAUUUUGCAGAUGAUUAUUUUCACCUAAAUUUCUAAAUUUGCCUCCCUUUUCUUCUCCUCCCUUUUCUUACUUACUGCUUCUCCUCCCUUUUCUUACUUAUCGCAUUUUCUUUCUAUCUCUUCGCCCUUUCCCUUCCUUUCUUGUUUCUCUCAAUCUAGGGUUAAAUUUAGCCAUAUCAAAUUUGUUUUCCUUUUUAUUUCUUGUAUUUAAGAGAUAAUUUUAACUUUAGGUCUACAUAUACAUCUUCAAUUUUGUCCAAAAUAAGCAAAAAGCUAGAUCUCAUCAACAAUUUAGGGUUGUCUUAUACUUAGCUAUUUGGGUAUGUCGUUGAAAUGUCAUUUGAUUGGAUGUGUUAUUUUUGUGAUUCAGUGUCAUGUUUAGUGAAUUUUUUCUUUUUUUUUUAGUAGACAAGAAAAGUUUCGUAAUGUUGUACCAAAGCCUUCUUUAGCAUCAGUUUGGUAGCAUUCAUGACCUACCAUAUGUUUGAUAAAUUGAUUCAAUGAAUUUUUCAAGGCUUUCUAAAUAGGUUUGCUCUCCAAUUUACUCAAUUCGUUUAAACAUGUAUUUUUUGAGGUAUUUAGCUAUUUUUGUCUUAGACUGUUGCUGUUUUUUAGAUAGGCGAAAACCUUUGUAGUGAUUACUUAGAUAUUCAAUUUUUUUUUGAAAUGAAAUAGUAAUGUUAUCUCAAGUUAUGAAGUUUCUCUUUAUGUAUUGGAAUUUGGCCAACUACACAAUUAACACAUGCUUUGGUCUCCAAAAUUCAAAAGGCUCCAUAAUCAAUGCAGGUAUAUCAUGAGUAGUUGGCCUGCUUGCUUCACCUUGUCCAUGUCUUAGAUAUCCAGACGAUUGUUCUUGUUGGACAACAUACCCGACAUAGUUACAGUAAUAAUUUGGGAUAGGAUAUUGAGGUACAUUUUCUUUUAUCAAGUACAGCAUGUAGCAAUUAAGCAUACUUAUUGUUGAACUUAGCUUUCAUUCACUUUCUCUAUUUUUCUAUGGCAACCUGCCCAAGUAUAUGGGCAUUGACUUAUAAGGGGUAUUGACUGUUCAUUUGCUUUCUUUGUGGCAUUUUCUAAUAUGACAACCCUCUGAAGUUGAUGAACGUACAAAGCUGGUUCAAAUGUUAAGUUUUUUUAUCUAGCUUGUGGCCUUUCACCUAGCCCAAGGCUAUUUAUCAAAUUUGAGAGUUAUAUUAUAGAAGAACUGCCUCAUGUAUGCAUAUUAAAAGUUUUUUUCCUGCAUAAAACAUGUUUCUUUUAUGUCCUGUCAACCUGACAAAUAUGACUUACUAAACUUAAGUAAACAAAGAUGGAUACCCUAUUGAUCCAUAUACCAUUAUGUAGUUGGCAUUUGUUAUAGAAUGGUUUCAAGCCACAUUAAGUUAAUUGCAGUUGGCUGAGCUGAUAGGCUCAAGUAUAGCUACUUAGUAAGACAGCAUAAGUUAUUUUUGUUAUUGCUUUUGUCUAGCCUAUCUCAAUCAGUUUUAAAGGCUGUAUAAAACUAUGCUAGUUGGGCUAUUGUAGUGCUUUUUUUCUGUUGGUUUCCUCUUUUUCCUUUUCACUUGGGUGACCAAUUGGACUUGCGAAAAGAUUUAUGUUUCUUGCAUAUUUUCCUUGACUUUAUGGGCUGCAAUAUUUUUCAUUAUUGUUGUAUGUUCUUGAUUCUUUCUCAUUUAAUCAAAUUGAUUUGAAUUAAAAUUUUGACAAGCUUAGACAGUAAAAUGCUUUGAAAACGCAUUUUUUUGAGUUGGUAACAUGUUUUAAAAAGUUGCCUUUAGGUAGCAUUACUAUUGUUGUGACAGCCCCAUCUCCCCCUAAGGCGAACCAGAGGGUUCGGCGGGCCGCCUGCCCAACUCUCGCCGGGACUCAGUCGCUCACUACAGUCCUCAAACAAUUAUAAGAUAAAUCUCAAUAUAACUCAAAUGAAUUACAAGAUAAAUCUCAAAUAUUACAUCAAAUUCUCCACUAAUUACAUAUCCAAAAGCGAAGCGUCCCUGCUUCCACUGCGCCACUCUGAUCCAUGAUCCAACUAUUAUACAAGAGGAAGUCCAAAUUCAAAGUACACAUGAGAUAAUUCAUCCGAUCACAGGAAUAAGUACUACAAGCCUUCCUUCGCCACGAGCCCUGUGGAGGGGAAUAAAAUAUUUUUAGGGUGAGCUAGAAGCUCAGUGAGUAACCAGUAAAAUCAAUAAUCAAAUCGGUUUAACAAUAGUUCAUUUCAAUGAUGUCAUAAUUCAAAUGAUAAGUCCAGAAACAAUUACAACAUUUACAAAACGUUAAAUAUGGAGUAUCAAUAAUUCAAGAAACAUUUACAAUGGAAAGCGAUAGUAACAUUCAUGAAAAGGAUACGGGCCCACAUGGAGCCAAAUAUUCGCGCGCUCGCUCGUUCUCCUGCCAUUUCCCCUUAUUCCUCCAAUUAUUUGAAAAUUUCCUUUUGACAAAUAAAACCCUCGUGCCUUUGUUCGUUUAUUCAUCCCCUUCCGGACGUUGGCCGGACUCCACCCAUCCGGACGUUGGCCGGACUCCACCCAUCCGGACGUAGCCGGACUACAAGGUAAUACUCGAGUAUACCAAAUUCACCCAGGGUCACCAUAUCGCCCGAUCGAGUCCGCUUCUGGCUCGAGUCGAUCGGUAACGAAGGGCAGUGGCCAGUUCAGCCGAAAGGCUUACAUUCAUGCGCAACUAGCAUUUAAUCAUUAAUCAUGGAAAAUUCCACAUUUAUUUAGGUCGAGUGCGAUAAAGUACACACUCGCCUAGAAAACUUGUUUUAACAAUCAUUGAAAGCACUUAAUACAUUAUCAAUCAAUAAUAACAAGCCAAUAAGUCAAGGAAUAUAGCAAACAAGGAACGCUCGCAUACAAGCACGCAUGAUAUGCAAGAAAACAGUUCAAAAGUAAAUAAUGCAAGAAAACAGUUCAAAAGUAACUUUGGAAACAGUUCAAAAGUAAAUAAUGCAGGAAACGGUUCAUAAAUAACUUUAGAAAUAGUUUGAGGUCACUCACCUCCAUGGCUCAGAAAUCAUCCAUCAUAUAACAUUGCAUUGCUCAAAUCCAAGCCUUAGAUCACAAACCCAACGCAAACAAGUUCCUUCAAAGUUCGGACAGCACUUCCCCUGAAUUUGCUAACUUUUCCAGCCAUCAUGGCUUCAUUAUUUCCUCAUUCCAACCCAAAGGUACACACACAACAACAAGUUCAUCCAAUAGGCAUUCAGCAAGCUCCAAGUAGUACUAGUACAAGUCAAGCUAUGGAAAAGUCCGGAAAUGAAAGUUAAGCUCAAAACCAGAAAAACAGUUUUGGACGUCAUUUUGCGGUAAUGGUACCAAAGGCGAUACGAUUGUCGGAUAAAGGUGAAAGACCCACCGUUUCGAAGUUAAGAGAUAGGGCUACAAUAUUGUAGAAGGUCACUCAACCCAGUUUCGAGUGUAACCAGGUCAAAAAUGCAAGAUACUAUACCAGAAUCAUAAAAACAGGUUCACAAAUCGCAUUCUGGUGCAAACAUCAUAAAUCAGCCUACCUAACACCAAAUCCAGAAAUUCCAAAACCAGCUGAAAACUAAGAAACAAGGUUACAUUUCAUCAGAAGGCCUCAACAACCAAUUCGGAAACAUUCUCAACCAAAAUAACCCAUUACAGACGCACUUCUCAAUUUCGGGUAAAACCAGAACAGCAAUAGUAAUUUCAACUUUUCUCAUUCUACACUACUCCGAUUGACCUAAAAUUUUGCUGGCACCUCUAAAAUAUCAUUCCAUACAACUUUCAUGUUUUAACCCAAGGCCAAUUAGGCCUCUAUCUAGGAGCUAUAAAUUCGGGCAGAAUGCACAAUCAUAAACCCUAACUUUCCAAAAUUUCUUCCAAAACAGAAAUUGCUUGCAAUUUACCACUUUUUCCACCUCAUAAAGUUCUUAAAUAUCAUUUCCAAUCAUCAUACAUGACCACAUAAUCAUAUCCAUAUGAAAACAGAAAAAUCCCCAAUAAUUAUAAAACUUCACCAAUUCAACCAAAAUCAAGAUAUAAUCCAUAAACUUGCAUCUCAUACUACCACUAAUCAUGAUUUAAACAUCAUUAGAGGAAGGAGAGUGGUUCUUCUCAACUCACCUUAGAAACAAGAGAGAGAGCAACUAGUCACCUUAGCUUUCCAAACAACUCCACAACCAAGUUCAACUCCACCAAACUAAGAGGUUUUAUGGAGUAAUUGGAAGAUUAAUCGGUUUAAUUGAAAGAUUGGGCAAGAUUGGAGACUAGAAAAUUGAGAGCUUUUCUUUCCUUCUUUGAGCAAGAGAAUUCGGCCAAGAAGCUUGCAAAAUGAAGAGAUUUUUGGCCAAUUUUAAUUAAAUGGUAAAGUUAUGAAUAGUAGUCAAACUCAAGACUAAAUCUUAUGGUGACACUUGUCACCUUUAGGUUUAAAACUUAUCUUUUUGUCUCUCCAAUACAAAUAUCUUAACAACUUGUAAAAUAAUAUCACUUAAUACAAAAUUCCAACAAGUUGUCAAAAAUAUAAUGCAUUUACCGCACUAGCGGGUCCCACGUCCAAAAUACGCUCUUAAUUUCUCAAAAACUAAUCGAUACUAGAAAAAUCAUUUUAAAACUAUCUUUGCUCAUAAACUUUAUCUGGGGAAUUUUUCUAAUAAAGAAAAUGUAGAAAAGGCGGGCGAUUAAAUAAAAUAAACCCUAAAAAAUUAGAAAAUUUCCGGGUUCUCACACUUAUACUUUUCGGGGCGUCACAAUUGUAAUAUUCCGUGAGGGAAUUGUGUCUUCUAUUGAUCUCCUUGAAAUUUGUUUUCUUAUUUGAAUAAAUGUUUCAUGCAAAAAUUAGUAAUAAUUUAGUUAAAAUUAAAUUACAUGCUAACGAAGUUUUAUUUUUUUAAUUAGAAUUUGUUUGAAUGUAGAGAAAAGAUGGAUGAAUAUGUCACGAUCAAGUGAUGAGUACAAAGUUGGUUUAGAAGAUUUUCUUGAUUUUGUAUUUAUGAAUGGGAGUAUAAGGGAGAUGAUUUUAUGCCCAUGCAUUAGGUGUGGAAAUGAGGUAUUUGUUAUGAGAGAGCAGGCUAAAUCACACUUGAUGUGGAAAAGGUUUAGUAAAGGAUAUACUCAAUGGAAAGCUCAUGGAGAGCUAUCUUCGAAUGUUCAUCAUAAAUCUUCACAUGGCUCUUCAAAUGAAAUUCCUCCACUCAAUCCCAUGGAUGAUAUGCAGGAGCUGCUAUAAGAUGCAUUAAGAGUUAUAAAUCAGGAUCUAGAUAUGGGAGAAAGAUUAGAAACAUAACGGCCGAAUAUUGAUGUUGAAAAAUUCUACAAAUUAAUAAAUAAUUUGAAAUAGCCCUUUUAUCCAGAUUGCCCACAAUUCUCUAAACUUUCGUUUUUGGUACACUUGUUGCAUAUUAAAUGUCUCAGCAAAAUGCUUGAUUCUAUAUUUAAUAUACUUCUUGAUUUGUUGAAACAAGUACUCCUAAAGGAUGUAAAUCUAUCCAACUUUUAUUAUGAAAAAAAAAGAUAAUGAAAGAACUAGAACCUGGAUACAAAAAAUAUGAUGUAUGUCCUGAUGAUUUCAUAUUGUAUUGGGAAAAAGAUGAAUCAAAGAUCAAAUGUGCCACUUGUGCACAUCUAAGGUGAGUGCCAUCAGAGGAUGAUCCUAUUGGUCAAAAAAGGAAAGUUUCCCACAAGGUUUUAUGGCACUUUCCACUUAAACCCAAAUUGCAGCGUCUAUUCAUGUCAUCUAAAACUGCAUCUUUCAUGAAAUGGCAUGUCAAGGGCCGUACUAAGGAUGGUCACAUGAGACAUCCUGCAAUACUCCAGUUUGGCAAUCAUUUGAUUACCAAAAUCCCGAGUUUGCAAAAAAACCUCAUAAUGUCAAAUUGGAUCUAGCUUCUGAUGGAUUUAAUCCAUUUAAAAAUAUGAAUGUGAACCAUAGUACAUGGCUGGUAGUAGUGAUGCCUUAUAAUUUGCCACCGUGGAUGUACAUCAAACAUCCAUACUUUAUGUUGUCAUUACUCAUUCCUGACCCAUAUGCACCCGAAAAACAACAUUGAUGUUUACCUUCAACCUCUUAUAGCUGAGUUGAAGGAACUGUGAGACGUAGGUGUGACCAUUUAUGAUGCAUCAUCAAACAAAAUUAUCAUAUGUGUGCUGCUUUAUUAUGGACCAUUAGUGACUUUUCUGAUUAUGCUUUUUCAUCUGAUUGGAGUACUGAAAGUUAUUUAGCAUGUCCAAUGUGUCAUAAGCAUACCAUUUCACACCUUUUAAAGCAUUGUUCAAAACGAUGUUACAUGGGUCAUUGGUGAUUUUUUGAAAAUGAUCAUCCAUAUCAAAAAGAUAAGAGUCACUUUGAUGGAAAGGAAGAACAUGGAGUUCCACCACCCCACUUGACGGGAGAUGUAGUCUUGGAGGAGUUGAGAUCAUAUGAAAUCAAAUUUGGAAAAUUAGUCAAUGAUAACUCUGAAUUACCUUUUAAUUGGAAGAAACAAAGCAUUUUUUUUAUUUGCCAUAUUGGAAAAACAAAUUUUUACAACAUUAUCUUGAUGUCAUGCACAUUGAAAAAAACAUAUGUGAAACUAUAGUGAGAACAUUGUUGUAUGUGAAUGGAAAGUGUAAUAAUCUUGGUGUCCAACAUGAUUUGCAAGAAAUGGGCAUACGAGCAGGUCUUCAUCCUAUUACAAGUGACUCUGGGCGAGCACACUUGCCUCCAACAUGUUUCCAUUUGGAUAAAAAAGAGAAACAGUUAUUCUAUAAAAUUCUGAAAAAAGAUUAAAUUGCCGGAUGGUUAUUCAGCCACAAUUUCAAAGUCUGUGCAUUUGAAACCUCCCAAACUAUCCAAACUUAAGAGUCAUAACAAUCACAUAUUAUUGCAGCAACUAUUACCAUUAUGUUAUAGAAAACUUCUUCCAAAAUCGGUGCUAUCUCCUCUGAUAAAGUUGUCCAAAUACUUUAGAGACUUAUGCUCUAAAGCUCUUUGUCCUCGAGAACCGCUUUGCAUGGAAAAAAAUGUUGUUGUGUUAUGCCAGUUGGAGUGCAUAUGUUCACCAUCUUUUUUUUUUGUUAUAAUGGUACAUUAGACUAUUCAUUUAGCAAUUGAAACAUAGUUGAUCCAAUACAUUAUCGUUGGAUGUAUCCGAUUGAAAGGUAACUUCAUAAGUUUAAAAUUUUAAUUUUUUUAACAUAAUGUGAGUAGACUUAUCGAUCACAUACUAUUUUUGUAAUUGUUUCAAAUGCUUAUGCAAUUUGAAGAAUUAUGUUUCAAAUAGAAGUUGGCUUGAAGGUUCAAUUGUUGAAGGGUGCCUAGUCGAUGAGUACUUGACAUUUUGCUCUCUCUACUUGUUUGAUGAAGUGAUAACUAAGUUUAAUCGACCAAGAAGAAAUGAAGAUGGAGGUCAAAGUUCAGCUGAAGGACUUGAAAUUUUCUAUAUGGAAAGUUGCCCAUUAGGAAAAGGACAUUCGAUUAUAAUGGAUGACAAAACUAUAAAAAAGGCACAUCAAUAUGUGUUAUUCAAUUGUGAAGCUAUGGAACCAUAUAUCAAAUAAGUAAUUGUACUCUAUGCUUGUAUUAUAACAUUAGUCAUCUUUUAUAAAUGGAUAAUGUCUAGAGACAACUAUCUUGGUUGAUUUUUAUAAUUGAUUAAGCUAACAUCGUAAAUUGAUUGAAGAGGAGCAUUCACGUAGUUCAAGACAUGAAAGGAAGUAGAUUCAUAGUCAGAUAUUUGCAAGCUGGUUUGAUUAUUAUGUGAGUUAAUAUACAUAAAAAUUGUACGUUUACACAUAAAAACUUGCAUUAUUAUUUUAUUAAUUUAACUUUUUGGUCUUCAUAGGUGGAUGUUUUCUACUUAAGAAUGAAUCUAUCUCAAAAAGAUUUAAAAAUAUUGGCUAAGGGUCCAAAUAUUGUGAGGUUGAAGUAUGAGAGAUAUAUUGUCAAUGAUUUUAGAUUCCAUACAAAACAUUUGGAGAGCAAAAGAAAAUAUCAUAAUAGUGGGGUGAUUGUUAGUAUAACAACGUCAAGUUUUGUAAGCACCAAAUAUGAACUCGAUUUUGAAUGACUUGGCCUAUUAUGGUGUCUUAAAUGAUAUUUUGGAAUUGGAUUAUAGUGGAGGUCGAAGACUGGUUUUGUUUGAUUGCUAUUGGGUCUCUAAGGGAAAUAGGUUGAAACAAGAUGAUAAUGAAUUUACACUUGUGAAUUUUAUGAAUGUGAAGCACUACCAUGAACCCUUCAUUCUUGCAUCCCAAGUGAAGCAAGUAUUUUACAUGGAACAUCUUUUGGAUAAGAGGUGGAAUGUUUUUAUCCCAACUAUACCAAGAGAUGAUCUGAAGAUGAAUCCUAUAGAUGCUAAUAAUUACUUGCAAAGUCAGCCUUCAAGUAGUCAUCAAAAUGUAAUAUUUGAUGAUAUUAAUUGGGUACGAGAGGAUAUCAUAGGAGGAAAAUUUGCUACUACUGGAGUGGCAUCAAAUUCCAAGGGAUGAUCUUUUAUUAUUUUAUAUAAAUAUAAUAUUGUCAUCUUUUGACUGUUCUUUAGUAUAUAUUAAAUUUAGGUACUUAAAUUUUUUGUGACAAAUUUUUUAUUUCAUGGUAAUAUGUUGUUGGAUAAAAUUUGUUGAUUAUGUCUAUGUAUUUACAAUUUGAAAUUGGAGUUGUGCAGCAAUGGCAAGAACGAGAGGAGGAAAAAAUUAUAGAGGAGAAAGAAGUUUUUGAUUGCGUGAUACACGUCUUGAAAAUGAAAUCAACUUGGAAAAUGAGGAAGGCACUAGUAUGACCUACAUUAUUAAGUCCUUUUAAUUUUAUUACAAAAUAUAUAUAAUAUUGGUUUCUUCUUCAUAAGAUACAUCCAAAUUGUCUAUUAUACUUACAGGUGGCGGUUCUAAUGAUGAUGUGCCUAAGAAAACUUGAGAACCAACAUUUAUGAGACACAUUUGGAGUAGACAUGGUACUGACAAGCAAAUUAAAGUGAGGUUCAACUGGUUUGGUGAGCCAGUAGGUACAAAUAGAAGCAAGUUCAAUGAAUUUUUGGGAGCAUUGGCCAGAAUUGAAAAAUAUGCACCAAUUAAUAUUGAUAGUUGGUGUAAGGUUCCCAAAUCUUUAAAAGAUGACAUGAUAAAUGUAGUAAAGGUAUGUAUUUCUUUUACGUACUAUACUAGUUGAAUGAUUUUGCUCUUUUAAUUAAGAAUUUGACAUUGUAGGAUGUAGGAAUCUUGAAUGAGUAAUCUUAGGAGAUAUUUUAGGUAAAUUAGUGGAAGAAAUCAGGGUGAAUAAGCUGUCUCUAAAAUUAAGGGAAUUAGGUGUAAACUUUCCUUGUUUAGUGUACUAGAAAAUUGUAUAUAUAGAUUAGAAUGAAUUGUAGGAAAUAUACAGAAUUAAUAAAAUCUCUUUGAUUCUUUUACAACAUGGUAUCAGAGCCCGUCUAGGGUUCUGGGAACAAUACCACCUUUGCUUCUUGUCAAUUCCAGUCUUAAUUGCUGGUUCCUUUCUUAUUCUCUCCAGCCUUCAUUACUGUUCCUUUUACUAUACAUUUUUUCCUUCCCACCAAUUACUUGAUCCUAUUCAAUCAUGGCGGAUGCUAUAUCCUCAAUGCGGCAAUUGUCUUCAACUCUGGAAGAAGAACAAAUUACACAGAGCAUAAUAGAGCUUCAAAACAUCCAGGUAGCAUAUAGACUAAAUGAAAAAAAAAUAUUUGAAGUGGUCUCAAUUGGUUUGAACAUUCUUGAAAGGAAAAGGAAAUUUGGGUCAUCUAUUGGAAAUAGCACCGGAUAGUGAAACGGCGGGGUUUGAAGCAUGGGAAAAAGAGGAUUCAAUGAUCAUGUCUUGGUUAUGAAAAUCCAUGAUUCUUAAAAUCAGCGGUAUGUGUAUGUUUCUUCCUACAACAAAAGCAAUUUGGGAUGCCCUUCAUCAGACAUAUUCCAAGGUUAAUGAUGCAGCUCUUAUCUAUGACAUCAAGACAAAGACAACUGGAGCAAAACAAGGGACAAAAAUAGUGACGGAGUAUGCCAAUUUUCUGCAAAACCAGUGGCAGGAACUGGAUUAUUACAGGACAUUUGAUUUGAACUGUAGCAAAUGUGCAGUGUUUAUCAAAAAGUUCAUAGAAAGGGACCGAGUUUAUGAUUUUUUGCCUGGCCUAAACUCUGAAUUCAAUCUUGUACGAAUUCAAAUUCUGGGCAGGCCAGAAUUUCCCUCUCUAACCCAAGCAAAAUCCCAGGUACGUGCAGAAGAAAGUCGCAGGGGUAUUAUGUUAGAGUUACCUUCAAUAGAAAAUUCAGCUCUUUUAAGUUCCAAACCUCAGUGGUUGGUACUGAACAAGGUUGCUGCGGACAAGACCAAUCAAACAAGUGGGCAAAAGAAUCGCGAGGAGUUGUGGUGCACAUACUGCAAGAAACCACAACACACCAUAGAACAAUGCUGGAAACUACAUGGGAAACCACCCACUCGUGAAUGGGGAUAGAAAGGUGGCCAGUAAAGGCAGGCUCAUGUGUCGGUUCAACAUCCAACUCAAGUGUUUGGAGGGUUUAGUAUGGAGGAAAGCUUAAAAGUAUGUUAGAGACAAUUGACAAACCAGCAACUAACAAUUCUCAACCAAGGAAUUGGGGUAUGUGUUCAUUGACAUUUUCAGGUAAGGCUCUAGUCUCUUUUGCAUCUAGUGUUUUAGGCAAUGAGCUUAGGAAUGUCUGGAUUCUGGAGUCUGGUGCUACGGACCAUAUGACUCAUAUUUCAAAUAAAUUCAAAACUUAUAACCCUUGUCCUAGCAAUGGAAAGAUUGUUGUUGCGGAUGGCACUACAACCACAGUGGCAGGAAUUGGAGAUGUCCAAGUUACUCCAAAAUUGAUUCCUAAAAAUGUUCUUCAUGUUCCUCAAUUAUCUACAAAUUUGGUUUCUGUAAAAAACCUUGCCAAAGAUCUAGCUGGCUCUUUUAUAUUUGAUGAAUCCUGGUGUGACUUCCAGGACUGAGGCUCGGGGAAGAGGAUUGGACUAGCUAAGAAGCAUGAUGGACUCUAUUACUUGGAUACAUCAAGUCAACCAGAAUUUAGUAAAUCUGCCCUGUCCACAUUGUCUUCACCCUCCAAUAAGGAUGUCAUCUAGUUACAUCAUAGACGUCUAGGUCAUGUGUCUUUUUUUUGCACUAAAAAUAAUGUUUCCCUCCUUGUUCAAGGGAUUUGAUGUUCAGUCUUUUCAUUGUGAUAUUUGUGAGUAUGCUAAACACACUCGUGUAUCAUUUCCUAUCAGUAAUAAAUGAUGGUCUUCUCCUUUCUUUUUAAUCCAUAGUGACAUUUGGGGGCCAUCAACUAUUCCAACCAUCUCAGGGUCUAAGUGGUUUGUCACAUUUAUCGAUGAUUGAACAAGAGUCUCUUGGAUCUAUUUACUCAAAAAUAAUCUGAUUUGAGUCAUGCAAUGAUUCAAAAUCAAUUUGGCACCAAGGUAAAACACUUUCGUUCAGAUAAUGCUCGUGAUUAUUUCAAUCAAACCUUGAGUCCGUUUUUCCAAAAAGAAGGAAUCAUACAUGAAUCAUCCUGUAUCACCACUCCACAACAAAAUGGAGUGGCAGAACGGAAAAACCGACAUCUUCUUGAGUGCACUAGAGCCUUACUGUUUGAACAAAAUAUGCCAAAAGCAUAUUGGGCAGAAGUUGUACUCACAUCAACUUAUGUCAUAAAUAGGAUUCCUUCCAGGGUCUUGGGAUUUCAAAGUCCACUAGAGAACCUAUCCAAAUUCUACCCCGAUAUUCGAUCCUCCUUUAAUCUCACUUCUCGGGUUUUUGGAUGUAGUUCUUUUGUUUAUGUCCAUAGUCAUAACCGUGGGAAGUUAGAUCCUCGUGCUGUUAAGUAUGUCUUCGUGGGGUACUCAUCUACUCAAAAGGGUUACAAAUAUUAUCAUCCACCUACUAGAAAACUCUAUGUCUCGGCAGAUGUUAUAUUUGUUGAAAAUAAGCCCUAUUUCAUCACUCCUUAUCUUCAGGGGGAGUUAGAUACACUUGAAGAUAAGAAGUUAAAAUUUCCUCCUUUAGACCUGUCCAAAUCUCAAUUUCGAGAGUCAAUUCCUCAAUCUGAUGUGAUAGAAGGAAAAAAGAAAGAAGAUUGUACAAUCUAUGACUGGUUCCGAUUUGACCAAGUGUAUACAAGGAAAGGAGAUCCCAUCGUAGUUACAAGGCAAGAACAAUCCUCUGAACCAAGCUUCGAGAAUGAGGUAACAAUGAGUGAAUCAAAUCUGAAUUCUACACCACCGACCGACCAUUCUUCCAGCUCUAAAUCACCUUGUCGCUUAGCCUUGACUAGGACCUGCAUCUACCUAUUGCUGUAAGGAAAAAAACCCGAGAAUGUACCAAAAGACCCUUAUACCCAUUGUCUCACUUUGUGUCUUUUGAGAAGUUUUUCCCAAGCCAUCAAAGCUUCCUUUCCACCUUAAACACAGUCUCUAUUCCUAACUCAUUGUCUGAAGCAUUAUCAAAGAAAGAAUGGAGACUUGCUAUGGAAGUAAAAAUAGAUGCAUUAGAGAUGAAUAGGACCUGGGAAUUAGUUGAGUUACCAAAGAACAAGAAAGUAGUGAGCUGUAAGUGGGUGUAUGCAGUAAAGUUUAAGACAGAUGGGUCCCUAAAACGGUACAAGGCGAGGUUAGUCGCAAAAGGGUACACACAGACAUAUGAAGUAGAUUAUCGGGAAACGUUUGCUCCGGUAGCAAAGAUGAAUAUGGUAAGAAUUCUGUUGUCCUUGGCUGUUAAUUUUGAUUGGGAAUUGCAACAGUACGAUGUGAAGAAUGCUUUUCUUCAUGGAGAAUUAGAAGAGGAAAUUUAUAUGAGCAUUUCACCAGGAUUCAGUGGGGUUGACAAGAAUAAGGUUUGUCGAUUAAAAAAGGCAUUAUAUGGGUUGAAACAAUCCCCACGUGCUUGGUUUGGACGAUUUGCCAAAGUAAUGAUAGCUAAUGGUUACAAGCAAAGUCAAGGAGAUCAUACCCUAUUCAUCAAGCAUUCAGCCUUCGGGGGAGUUACUGUUUUGAUUGUAUACGUGGAUGACAUUAUAGUGAUAGGAAACGAUGAAAUAGAGAAGGAAACUUUGUAGUGGUGCCUAGCCAAGGAAUUUGAAAUAAAGGAUUUAGGAGAAUUGAAGUAUUUUCUGGGAAUUGAAGUGGCUCGAUCAAGGCAGGGAAUUUUUAUUUCUCAACAGAAAUGUGUUAUGGACCUGUUCAAGGAACAGGCAUGACAGCGAGCAAACCAGUUGGAACUCCCAUUGAAUAGAAUCACAAAUUAAGUGAGGCUUAUGGAGAUAAAGCAGUGGACAGAGAGAUGUACCAAAGACUUGUUGGGAAACUCAUUUAUCUCGCACAUACUAGGCCAAAUAUAGCGUACUCAGUUAGUGUUAUUAGUCAGUUUAUGCAUGAUCCUAGAGGAGUUCAUCUACAAGCAGUUUAUCGAGUGCUUCAUUACUUAAAGGCACAUCCAGGGAAGGGAAUUUUAUUCAAAAAGGGUCCUGAGAUUGAUCUGGCAGUUUACACAGAUGCAGACUUUGUAGGGUCUCCAGUCCACAGGCGAUCAACUUCGGGAUAUUGUACAUUUCUUGGAGGAAACUUAAUAUCCUGAAGAAGCAAGAAACAAAGUGUGGUAGCAAGGUCAAGCGCUGAAGCAGAGUUCAGAGCUAUGGCAGCAAAGGUAUGUGAAUUAUUGUGGGCUAAAUUAUCCUAGAAGACUUGAGGAUUCAAUGGAGCAAACCGAUGAAGCUAUACUGUGAUAACAAAUCUGCUAUAAGCAUAGCUCACAACCCAGUGCAACAUGAUCGGACGAAGCACAUAGAGAUAGACAGGCACUUUAUUAAAGAGAAGCUAGGCAGUGGAUUGAUUUGUACUCCGUAUGUUCCGACAGGACUUCAACUUGCAGAUGUGAUGACAAAGGGACUGUGCAGUAACAUGUUUCAUGAGAGUGCUAUCAAGCUGAGAAUGGAAGAUCUAUAUUCACCAGCUUGAGGGGGAGUGUAGGAAUCUUGAAUGAGUAAUCUUAGGAGAUAUUUUAGAUAAAUUGAAUGAGUAAUCUUAGGAGAUAUUUUUGGUAAAUUAGUGGAGGAAAUCAGGGUGAAUAAGCUGUCUAUAAAAUUAAGGGAAUUAGGUGUAGACUUUCCUUGUUUAGUGUACUAGAAAAUUGUAUAUAUAGAUUAGAAUGAAUUGAAGGAAAUAUAUAGAAUUAAUAAAAUUUCUUUGAUUCUUUUACAACACAAGAGAAAUUUGAUCUUCCUUCCGAUCUAGAAGAAUGAGUUAAGCAAUCAUUAGAAAAGAAAUGGAAAAGUUGGAAGCAUGCUCUAAAAAAAGAUUAUUUCAAUUCUAAUGAGCCAAUUGAAAAUUAGGUGCUGAAAAGACCAAAACAAGUUCUUCCAAAGCAAUAAAAAAAUAUCUUGACUAAAUGGCAUUCUAAAGAGUCAAAGGUAUGAAAAAUUGUUAUAGUUGUGAUCAAUUUUUCUAUUUGUCUAUGGUUAACUAUUUUGUAUUAUGCUAAACUAUGUAGAAAAUAUAUGCAACAAACAAAGAGCAUCGAGGGAAGAAAAAGAUGAACCAUAGUACGGAGAAAAAGCCAUUUGCUCAAGUUCGAGUAGAUAAUGUAUAAUAUCAUAAAUUGGUAACCACAUCUAAUCUUUUAAAUUGAUAUCAUCUUUUGAUAUACUAUUGUAUGUAGAAAAAAGAGUUUGGGCAUUCUCUCUCUAGAGCAGAUAUGUUCACUAUAUGCUAUACUAAUUCUAAUGGAGUGCCAUCUAGUUAUGAAGUUGGGGAAAAAUAGUAUGCUACUGCUACUUAUUCCCUCUAUUCAAAAACCUGUUUUUUCUAUUACAAUAAGAAACAACAUAUAGUAACUCUGAAUUGUUAAUUUUAGGAGGAGAUGGAAAACUUAAAAAAUCAACUUCCAGAAGAAGAAGAAGAUAUUGUGGGUAGGCAUGACGUGUUUGCACAAGUAAUGGGUAAAAAAAGUAGUGGAAGAGUUCAUACAUAUGGUUUAGGAGUUACACAAUCUAAUUUGUGGGGAUAUACCAAGUCAUUCAACAUGUUUUCGGUUGGUCAUGGAACAAAGUGCUACAUUGUCAAAAACAAAGCGAAGAAUUCAGCAGCUAGAAUCAAUACACCAAGGAAGAUCACAAGGACAAAGUUCACCAUCUCAAUAAAGAUCUACUUCGCAAUCAUCAAAUGCUAUUUUUUGGCCGAUAAAGGUAAUAAACAAUUCAUUUAUGACUUUGUUUAGAAGUUGCAUUAACAAAUGGUUUUCAUGAACAUAUUUGUAAUUGCUAUAUGUUACUUAAUUAUUGAGGUUUCGCUGUUCUAGAUAUUAUUAUUGAUUGUAAUGGACUGCACUUUGAUUGUGGUGCUUCUUGUGACUGUAAUUUUUGUUAGGAUAUUAAUAUCUAAAUUUUGGGUUAGUUCUUCUAGUACUAUGUAUUGAAUUUCUGUUCAGGAGCUAUUCUCUUAUAUGUGGUGGCUAUAAAUUUUAUAAAAUUGGUACUUUUAAGGUCGAGGAUAAAGUUACAUUAAGGAGUACGGUUGAUUCAAAUAAAAUUUAUGCUGUUGGAGUGGUUAAAAGUUUGGAAUCCAUGUGAAAUCCAUGCGACACACCUUUGUGAAAUCCAUGUGAAUGUGUCUAUGGAGAGUGAUGAAGAGCUGAUGAGGCCAUACCAUGAUUUUUGUAAGAUUGGAGAUGCAAUUGGAGUAGACAUUGCUUGGCCAAUAAUUUUAGUAAAUCUUGGUCAUCUGUUUAACUUACUUUAUAUUUGUUUUUUAACAUCAAAACUGUAAAAGAAGAACUGUACAUGUGAUUUGUAACUCCUAUUGCUUGGUUUAUGAUACUUGUAGGUGAAUUUUGAAAAAAAUUAAAGGAUCCUUUGGGUCAAAUGGCUGUUUUUGAAGGCAUUGUCAACGCAUUUUAGUUGAGUUCUUGUCAAACUACUGUUUCCUUUAUAUGUAUUGACAAUGCUAUUGCAAUACUCAUGGCUGUUGGAAAUUCGGUGAAUUAGCAUGUAAUUUGUUCACAUAGUUUUAAUGAGAGUUGAUUGGAUGAUGUACUUUUGCACCAAUUUGGCUAAAUGUAUUGUACCAAUUACUAUGAAGGUGUAAAUCACUUUGAUUUUUCUUUAUAUGAUGGUACUAUCAACUUUAUCAUUCCAAAAAUUGGAAUCUAUAUUGUGCAGGUAGGAUGAAAUAUGAUUUCUGUUUUUGGGUAUAAAAACACGGCCAGUAUAUAUAUAGGGCUAAUGCAAUAUGAUGUACUGACACUUAAAAAGUGUUACCACUUUGGCUAUGUAUUGCUAUUCAUAACAUUCACAAAAUUUCAUGUUAAGAAGUGUCAUAAUAGCCUAAUUUAGUUACACUACAAAGGUAUCAUAAUAUUUCUUUCUACUUAUACUGUAAAUGUGUCAUAAUAGCUUAUUGUGCUUACAUAAUACAAGUAUCAAAAUGGCUCCAAAAUAUGACAAUUAUGAGUAUCACUUUAAAUUCAUGUAACUUCAACUGUGCCCUGGCAUUUCUUGUCAUUUGAAAGUGUCAUAAAACCAGUAAAUAAUGACAUUUAUAAAUGCCAUCACAACUAUAAAUUAGAAUUUACAAAACUGCCAUAAAACUUAUAGUGACGUUAGAAUGGAUGACGUUUUUGGUAGAAUGUCAUUUUAUUUGAAAGGUCAUUACAUGGAAGUAUAAUGAUGCUUUUAAUGUCAUAAAAGGACAUUUUUGUAGUAGUCUCAAAAAAUAUAAGUUCAUUCAUGGACUCUUGAAUCAUAUACAGACUAGGGUGAACACCUCACACAUUCCCACAUUUAAUGAUGUGUUAGACGCCAGCAUAAAGGCUGAGAUGGACUGUAAAUAACAAGAUGAGGAGGCUAAGAGUAAGAGGCCAAGACCUAGGGGUGAACUUACCAUGUUGAGAAUGCUAAAGCCAGGCAAACGAUUCCGCUUAGUGAAGAAGAGUCGCGACCACCUCCAAGGAUAACUAGGGAAAAAACUUUCCCUCAAUAUAAAACCUAUGGUAAGAUGCAUCUAUUAGAAUGUCGACUUAGAACUAGAGCAUGUUUUGAAUGUGGACAGCAAGGAUAUAAGGCUAUGGAUUGCCCAAAUAAAAAGGUAGGGAUAGACAAGGGCGGCAACCUAGUUGGUAACAAAGCUAAGAUGAAUGCAAGGGUGCAUGCGAUGACUGAUUUAGAGGCAGAGGCGUCUGGUAAUGUAGUCACAGGUAUGCUUUUGAUAAACUCUGUGCCAGUAUUUAUGUUAUUUGACUGUAGUGCAAGUUAUUCGUUCAUUGCAAAGAAAUUUGCUAAACAUUUGUGUACGCAACCUAAAUGAAUAGACCAUCCCUACCACGUGGCCACUUCAGAUGAUAGGAUUUUAGUAUCUCAUGUUAAAUAUCCAAUCUAUAUGGCGGAAUUGGAGGAUAAGAAAUUAGAAGCGAGUCUAGUGCAAAUUAACAUGAGUGAUUUUGAUAUCAUCUUAAGAAUGGAUUGGCUAGUUAGGUACUAUGCACAUAUUGAUUGUAGAAGGAAGAAGGUACUAUUUUUGAACCCUCACCAAGAAUGUUUCUCUUAUCAAGGGAAUACUAAUUUAAGAAAGUUACGUAGGAUGCCACUCCUAUCAGCCAUGCAAGCCUAUAGGGCAUUAAGAAAAGGAUGUGAGGCAUAUUUGGUUUAUGUGGUAGAUGUUGAGAAAGAGGAAAAGUCAUCAGCAAAGAUCCCCAUAGUGAUAGACUUUCAGGAUGUAUUUACAGGCGAUUUUCUCGGAUUAUCUCCUGACUGGUAAAAAGAUAACUAGAGAUAGGGAGAGGUGAGGGGUCAAACCUCAUCUGCAGCGAAAAAAAUCUAAGGGUUGUGUCAGAGCACUCCCUUGGUCUAGUUGGGUCUGUAUACCUACUAGCCCCCUACCAUAGCCUCCUUAGGCUCCCCCUCCCCCCUAGAUUAGGAUAGAGUAGGUUAUACAAAUGUAUCAUUGCUGACCAAAAAAAAAAAAAAGAGGGGGAGGAUAAUAGUGGCCCCAAUAUGUGACCUGUCUGUAGUAGUGGAGUAGCAGGAGAAGUGGAGAGUAGUUGUACUUAUCGUUACUUAAUAUAUUUAUUAUUUCCUUCACAUUGGAAAGGACCAAUUUCAUCCCAUACCCCAAUUCCAAUUAACUUUGGUGGUGAUAGUGACAGUCACAAUACUCUAGCCACGACCACACACAUUUUUCAGGGAUUAUUAGUCAACAAAAUGACAAAAGCAAAAGCAAAUGUGAAAUUUAACCUCAUUGUUUCACUGAUUAUUACAUGUUUGAUUAAUUGAAAGAAAUAAUUAAUCGAUACACACUAACUUUGUAGGCGGUCAAGUUUUGUCCCCUUCCUUUAUGUGAUUAUCUUCAUUUAUUAAAAAAAUUUAGGGGUGGCAUCCCUCUCUCUCGUAUAUGGGAUUUUGCCAAUGAAAAAAGGAAAAAAACAUACACACCAUAUUGGAAAAGCUUCAUCUAUGAACCAGCUAAUAAAAUAGUAGAUAAAAGCUAGAUAAAAAAAAAAAAAAAAAAAAAGCAGCGACCUUUGGAGGAUGUUUAAAUAAUACUUGAACACUGCAUUCCAUUUAGAAGAAUUAAGCACAAAAAAGUAAAUAAUCACGUUAUUAGCUUCAGCUUUAGCUUUACCUACAUCACAUAUCACAAAAAAAAAAAAAAAAAAAAAAAAAAAAAAA